rnacentral:lncRNA from 1 species
AGAAUCAGCUUAUAAUAAUAUAUAGAAAUCCAUUUCUAUUCCAAGCUUCAAAUAUAUAGCUCCACACUAAAGCAUCAUCAUGUACAUUGAGUCUAUGGCUGUAACAGCUAGCUAGUAAUAGUCACCGGCAAUUAGUACAGUAGCGAACAUAUAAGCACUGCUGCACGAGCUACAAGCGGUGGUGGGCGCAGGGGGCACUGCCGUCGUCGAAGUUCUGGUAGUAGCUAUGCAGGUCAUACCCGAACCUCACCGCGGUUCGCCUCGGCCGCGCUGCGCGUCUUCUCCAAGAGCGACUCAACCUCGACAGCAGCCGCUUCACCGCCGCAGCUGGCCGGCGGCCGCCGCUCCUGGCGUGGACGAGCCUCCCGCCCAAGCCGCUGCCCCCGGUGUACGGGCCUAGCAGAGACACCGCCGCCAUGAUCGUUCACUCAGUCGGUUCUCACAGGUCACGGACGCUCUUUGCCACUAACCAACUAGCUAGCUAGAUGCUCUGUCUGCUUCGAGCUGGAGUAGGUAGGUGAGGUCUAUCUGUGAAUCUGUGUGCUGCAGCUGUAGCUUCUGAAGAUACUGUGCAAAACGAAGCCUCCCAUGCGCAGCUUUAUAAGCUCGGAUGCUGGGAGCAUUCCGACACGCGUCGACCGAAGACGCCACUCGGACCCACCAGCAGCACGCACUCACGUACAUGGUGACGAGGCAAUCCACUACGGCGAUCGUUCGAAAGGUCCAAGCAGCUUCAUUUCAUGCAUGCUUUUGUAAGCCGCCGUCAUGCUCGUGCAGUCGAAAGAAUCAAAGAAAGACAACCGUCGACCACCAACAAUGGAAGCAUGUGUACUUGCUUUAGUGACGACGACCUCGAUCGCCAGCUAGAUUGCUAGCUAGAGGGAUGAGAGAGGUCGGCCAUGGCAACCGGCGACACGGCGGCACCUGAGCUGCUUCCUGCCCGUCCAUAGCCGAACUGCCGAUAAGGUCGGCGGCUUCCUGCCCGUCCUGCCGCUGGAUCAUGCCACGUGCACAAUGUGUUUGUGUUGCCUGUUGCGUGGCCGACCUAAUCGACAUGCAUGCGGCAGAGGUUGACGGGGAUGUUCGUUCUGCAGAACUCUCGGAACCCCGUCACAUCGAGACUAGGAACCUAGUAGAGUGUAUUGCUGACGCUGAAUCAUAAUAAUAACAACUGGUUAUAUUAAUAACCUAGAGUAUUAUUGGAAAGAGCACUCCAAGCCACUCACCAAAUUGGAUAAUUAAUAAUAACUGGUUAUUACUAUUUAUUUUUGGAUAACCUUAUCCUUGUACUGAAGAUGACUAAAGCUUAGGACGUGGAUAUUUCUUUUACAGCUGGAACAUGCAUGUAUGCUCUUCUGAUAUCUCCAAAAAAGAAGAGAAAAGAUGUCGUCGAGCUGAGUCAUCAUCAAUGAAUUUCCACAUCCUAAGGAAAGGGAAAUGGAAUACUAGUCCUAGUAGUGUUAUGCUAGAGUGAAAAUCUACAGAAAAGGCGGAGAGCCUUUUUUAGGGAAUAUUGCGAAGCUUCUAUUUUGGAAAUAUCACGAAAAUGUAUGGUCAGUAAAAUGGCGGUCGUGGAAUGGCAGUGUAUAUGAAGGGGGCUGAGGUAGUACAAAUCAUCCAAGUCAUCAUGGUAUCAGGAUGAGUCAUGAGUCACUUGACAUGUGUUUGGUUUCGGAACGACGUGGAUCCGGUCGAAGUCGACCCAUUUUUCUGGAUUGGGUCAGAUCCGUUCCUUAUUUGGUUUAAGUGACAGGUUAAACCUAUUAUCUUGUUUGAUUACAGGGUUAAACUGGGUUGGAGUUGUACCAUCUCUUGUUUGUUUCGCGAUGAGGGAUGAACUGAAUAUGGUCUCCUUCCUGGUCAUAUUACCACAUUCAGGAUGGUAUCUUCAAUUCAUUCAAUUCAAUAAGAUGACAACAAUCAAAAUAAAUGAAACCGACACUAUUUUAAUAUUUGAGAAAUCCAUAAGCAUAAGAUAUACAUAAAUUAAAGCCAAUAUUAACCAAGUCAUAAAUUUUUAGUGAUGAGGUCUCAUUGUUACAUUUCAGCCAUAAUUAAAGGAACCUCCCAACAACAUCAAGAUGCAUUUCAGUGAAUUUGUAACAUUUGCCAUGACUAGCAGGCUUGUCUAGGCAAUAACGAGCACAGACAUUUACCUGUUCGACGACAGCACUAGCAAGGCUCGCGGGUUGUGCCUACUGGAGAACACACCAGCAUCAGAGGGCAGGCCAGCGAGUGACUGUCGGUGGGAGGCGCAACAAGCCGGUGGGGGAGUCUGACGGCGCUGACGGAGGGCAGACCAGUGAGGGACUGACGACAGGAGGUAGGCGGGGGAUGAACGUCGGAUGGUAGGUCGGCGGGGGUCCCUCGUCCCAGCUUGCCGGCCGUGGCAACGUGCCCGUGUGCCAAUGUUUUAAAUGUCCGACUAAGGGCCUUAGCGGUGAGCUUUUUAUAAGUUAUAAAGGCUAUAGCCGUGAGCUAAACCAUUUAGCCGUUUAAAAAAAGCAUGAUAUAACUUUAUAGAUAGUUUAAAUGUUCAAUAUUUAAAUCUGAUAGUUCAAACUAGUAGUUCAAAUGUUCAAUAAUAAAUCAACAUACAUGCAAAUUCAAUGACACAUAUAAAAGGCAUUGAAUCAUUAUCUGAAGUGUCCCGAUCCUUUGGGACUCAAAUGUGAUACAAUUACUAGUCCCAGGAGGCUAGUAACCACAUUCAUUACUUCAAAUAGUUACAGAGUCUGAAUAAUGUUAUUACAAUACCGGGGGAUACAGGCUCGAAAGUGAGCCGAAAAACAUAAAGCGCAGUGGAAGAUAAAAUAGCCCAGGCCACAGGCAGAACUGGGCGAAGACACAGCCCCAUCAAUCAAGCAUAGCAGAAAAGAAGUCUUCAGCUGCUGAAAAACAUAAAUAAAUCUGGGUGAAUACACUAGGUAUUCCGCAAGCCCACCCGGCUCCCGUAAAGAGAAAGUGACCUAUAUGGUACAUGCUUAUUAUGGUGGAGUUGAAGUCACUCAUACUUUUUCAGAGAAAGGCAGUAUUCGUUGUUUAUGGUUUUCCCAAGACAAUAGGAGUAACACUUGCUUGACCACCACUGAGCUUCCCGCUCCUGUGGUACCACUUUCUUUUCAGACAUACACACACAUUUCCCUGUUCCAGGUUGUAGUAGAAACACUAAUUGUCAUACCAUUCUAGACUCGUCCAUACCAGUGGACACGGACUAUUCGAAUAGGUUUAGACUCUGCGCAGAGGGGUACACUUUACCCACUAGUCCGGCUCUGCGAUCUCAUGGCCAAUGAGACCCGAAUCCGAAACUCUUUCCUUCCUUGUACGUCCGAACCUUAACGGUUAUACCGGAAGGAGUCAGGCCACCGCCAUGUCCAAACCGGACAAAACAUUCCCCCUCCUUAUCCUCCCGGUGCUACCCGAGCCUUCAUAACCCUGGGGUUGGACCGUACGAGUUUAGAUCGAGUGGCUGCCCACACAGCCUCGAGUGGGUGUACUUUUUGUGAGUACAAGUAAUGAAAGAUGACAAACCGGUCCUUAUACGAGAGGACGAUCCUUCUGCUCACGCCUAAACCAGCUGAGCCAACACCUUAGGCCCUCCCCUAAACCAGGGAGUCCCUGAUCAUCCUACUCACCAGGUGAUGAGGGUGAGUACCCUUCAUCGCACACUUUUGGAAAACAUUCCACUUGUACCCUUUUCACUUGCCCCAUAUCUUUUAAUCAAAAUAAUAGUUAAUGCGGGCUCUCUCAUGCUCACCAUGCAAUUCGAUUCCCAUCCCAUAAUCCAGGCUUAGGCAGUGGUAGAGAGAAAUAGGUAAAUAAUGCAUCAAGGGAAGGAUGGACUUGCCUUCGUCGAAGCUUUCCUGCCACAAGAGGUUAAUCUCGGAGGGGUCGGGUUCUUGCCCUUCUUCCGGAGCUAAGAGUUCCGUAGGAUCGGAUCCCUCUUCCACUAAUUAAACACAUAUAAUAACAAUACAUCAAACAUAGUGACCUUUGAGGGGUGUGCAAAUUUUUAUACUUUAUUAUUUUUGUGCCCUAAUAAUUUAUUUAGACAAUUUUUGGUGCAUAAAAUAUUAGCAUCUAAAUAUAUAUGUGAAAAUGGGAAAAAGAAAAGGGAAAAGAAAAAGAGAAAGAAUUUUCGAGCCAACUGGGCCGGGGGGGGAUUUUGGCCCAAAAGGCGCCAGCGCGAGCGGGCGGGCGUGCUUUUGGCCCACUUGGCCCAGCCGCGCGGGGAGACGGCGGGGGAACGGCACUGCGGCGCGGGCCCGCACGCCAGAGAGGGGGGGGGGAGCGAACGACGUUAACGGCACGGAGGGGGGCGAGGGCUCGACCGGGGCCGGUCGGCGGCGAGCCCCGCGGCGGUUCUCCGCCGUCGGUCCGGUUUUGCGGUGGGGAAGCGGUGGCGGAGCAUGGGCGGUUGAUGGGGGUCACGGGGGUGGGGCGAAUUUCACCUGCGGGGGCCUAUGGCGGCCGGUCCGCGGCACGGUGGCGGGUGCCCGCGGCGGUGAUGCCGCCGGUGAGGUUUCCGGCCACAAUAGAGUGGGGGAAGUGGCGUGUCGUGACCGUGAGAGUGUGGCGGAGCUCUUGGCAUCACUUAAUUGAACGAAAGAUCGCUAGAGAGGGAGAGGGGAUCUCACCGGAGCGGUGAAGGGAGCACGACAGCGCUAGCUUGAACGGCUCGAGGAGGAGGGCAGUGGGGGUGGCCGGAGCUGUGUGGCGAAUACGGGGCUCAGGCGGGUCCUUUUAUAGGCGCUCGGGGGAGGGAGGGGGUUGGGGGAGACGACGAGCACCGGCGAGCUUGCCAUGAUGGUGGGAAUGGUGCUAACGCCGAUGCGAUGGCUCGGGCAGGCUGGGGGGUGAGGGGUCGGCUCAAGCACAGUGGUGGGGUUGUCGCGGAGGCUGGCGAGCAUUAAUGGCGAGGCGACGAGGCGAGGGGGCGCUCGGCGGCGGACGCGCCGGUGAGGGAUGGGCGAGGGGGAUGGAACUGACGAGUGGGCCCUGGCUGCCAGCGAGAGGAAGCUGCGCGAGAGGGAGGGGGUGAGGCGCUGACGGGCGGGGCCCGGGUGUCAGCGGGAGGGAGCCGCGCGCGGGUUGGGCCGCCUGGGCCGGGGAGAGAGGGGGAGGAAGUGCGGGCGCGCGCGGGUUGGGCUAGAAUUCGGCCUAGCCGUGGGAGGGGGAAGCUUUUCCUUUUCUUUUUCUUUUUCUAAUUCUAAUCCCUUUCUUCUCCUUUUUUCUAUUUUUGUUUCUUUUUAUUCUUUUUCUUUGGAGACCAAAAAUAUUUUCUAAGUGAUCUUGAGUGAGAAACAUAGUCUAUGUGAGGUGCUCUAAUUAUUUCAAGUGCACAUAAGAAGGGGUUCUAAGGGUAGGGUUAAGGGGGAAAGGUAAAAUAGGGGGGAGGAAUUAGGAGGUUAGGGUUUCAAACCUUGGGUGGGAUUUUGGGAUGUUACAAACCUACCCCACUUAAAGGAAUCUCGCCCUCGAGAUUUAGACUGGAUUUGAGAAAAGAUAAGGGUAUUCCCUCCUCAAGGAGUCCUCACUCUCCCAGGUAGCUUCCUCUUCUCCUUCUCUGCUCCACUGAACUUUACAGAGCUUUACUUCUGAGGUGCGGGUCUUUCUGACUGCUGAAUCAAGAAUCUUCACUGGUUUUUCACGGUACUGAAGGUCUUUCUGAAUCUGUACUGUCUCUUCUUCGAGGUGACUUUCUGGUGCUUGCAGGCAUUUGCGGAGCUGGGAUACGUGAAACACAUUGUGGAUGUCGGACAUGGAUUCUGGUAAUUCCAGACGGUAUGCUGCGUGUCCUACCCUGCCAAUGAUGGGAUAGGGACCUACGAAACGUGGGGCUAGCUUCCCUUUUACUUGGAACUUCCUGACACCACGCAUUGGAGAAACCUUGAGGUAGACGAAGUCUCCUUCCUCAAAUCGGAGUUCCCUCCGCCUGUUGUCUGCAUAACUCUUCUGUCGACUCUGAGCUUCGAGUAACCUUCUGCGGAUCAGUGCAACUUUCUCUUUCGCCUCUUUGACAAAGGCAGGUCCUUCUAGUGCUUUUCCCCCCACGUUGGACCACAUGAGAGGGGUUUGGCAUUUCCAUCCAUACAGUGCUUCGAAUGGCGACAUCUUGAUGCUGGCCUAAUAGCUAUUGUUGUAUGAGAACUCUGCGUAGGGUAGACUGGAUUCCCAACUUCUAUCAAAAGCUAGCACACAUGCUCUUAACAGAUCUUCAAGGACUUUGUUGACUCUUUCUGUCUGCCCAUCUGUCUGAGGGUGAUAAGCGGUACUGAAAUCUAGCUUGGUGCCCAUAGCUUUCUGAAGGCUUGUCCAGAAUUUGGAUGUGAACUGGGUUCCCCUGUCUCACACUAUCUUCCUUGGGAUGCCAUGGAGUCUGACUAUCUCCUUGAGAUAAAUCCGGGCAAGGGUGGCUCCUCCAAAGGUAGUUUUCACUGGGAUGAAAUGGACUACCUUGGUGAGGCGAUCUAUUAUUACCCAGAUGGAAUCAUUCCCUUUUUGCAUCCGAGGCAGUCCGGUUACGAAGUCCAUGCCUAUUUCUUCCCACUUCCAUUCAGGUAUUGGAAGGGGUUGUAAUAGGCCUGCAGGUUUUUGGUGUUCGGCCUUCGUCCGUUGGCAGAUGUCACAUCGGGCCACAUACUGAGCUAUUUCUUUCUUCAUCCCUUUCCACCAGUAUCUGGUUUUGAGGUCCAGGUACAUCUUGGUAGUUCCUGGGUGGAUGGAGUAGGCCGAGUCGUGAGCUUCCUUGAGUAGGACUUCUCGGGCCUCCCCUUUUGGUACACACAGACGGUGCUUGAACCAAAGGACUCCUUGGUCAUCUGCCCUGAGGUCCGGGAGUUGUUCCUUGUGGGAUUUCUCCACAAGUUUUGCUGUCUCUGAGUCUAGACGUUGAGCUUUGCAUAUGAGGUCUUCCAGCACUGGUUUGACUUCGAGACUAUCGUUGUUUCCCAAACAUGCAUUUAGUUGCGCUGAUUCUUUCUUCCAAUCUUCUAAAAAGUUGGUUCCUUUUAUUCCGAAUGGUUUUCGACUGAGGGCGUCGGCUACCACGUUGUCCUUCCCGGGGUGAUAGUGAAUUUCUAGGUCGUAAUCCUUGAUCAGCUCUAACCAUCUUCGCUGAUGGAGGUUGAGAUCUGGUUGAGUGAUUAUAUACUUCAGACUCUUGUGAUCGGUGAAAAUGUGGCAUUUGUUUCCGAUUAGGUAAUGCCUCCAUAUCUUCAAGGCAUGCACUAUGGCUGCCAAUUCCAAAUCAUGGGUGGGGUAAUUCUAUUCGUGCGGCUUGAGUAGGCGUGAUGUGUAAGCAAUGACUUUCUCGUUUUGCAUUAGCACACACCCUAAGCCUUGCCUCGAGGCAUCACAGAAGACGACAAAAUCUUGAUGAAUAUCUGGCAGUGAUAGAACGAGUGCUGUUGUGAGUUUCUCCUUUAUGACCUGGAAACGCCCUUCACAUUUUGGGGUCCACACAAAUUUAUGGUCUUUCUUGAGAAGUUCUGUCAUCGGUCUUGCUAUGCUGGAGAAUCCUUUGAUGAAGCCGCGGUAAUACCCUGCCAUUCCUAGGAAGCUUCGAACUUCACUGACGUUGGUUGGCUGCCUCCAUUUUGAUACUGCUUCCACCUUGGAAGGGUCCACUUCUAUCCCUUCUGCGGUUAAGAUAUGCCCAAGGAAGGCUAUCUUUUCCAACCAAAAUUCACAUUUACUGAGUUUAGCAUAAAGUUGGUGUGCUCUGAGUUUUCCGAGGACGAUCCAAAGGUGACGCUUAUGGUCUUCGUGGUUCUUGGAGUAGAUAAGGAUGUCGUCAAUGAAGACUACGACAAACUUAUCUAGCUCUUCCAUAAACACUUUAUUCAUGAGGUUCAUGAAAAAGGCGGGUGCGUUUGUCAGUCCGAACGGCAUCACUGUGAAUUCAUAUUGCCCGUACCGGGUGACAAAUGCAGUCUUUUGGAUGUCUGCUUCCUUGAUCCUCAAUUGGUGGUAACCAGACCUUAGGUCUAUCUUGGAGAAGUACUUGGCUCCUUGAAGCUGAUCGAAGAGGUCGUCAAUCCGAGGAAGUGGAUACUUGUUCUUGAUGGUAACUUCAUUUAACGAUCGGUAAUCAAUACACAUUCUCAUGCUUCCAUCUUUCUUAUAGACGAACAGGACUGGCGCUCCCCAAGGUGAUGAGCUGGGACGAAUGUAUCCCUUUUGCUGAAGAUCUGCGAUUUGAAGCUUCAGUUCUGCUAACUCGAUCGGAGCCAUGCGGUAUGGUCUCUUCGCGGUGGGUGCCGUUCCAGGGAUCAGAUCUAUGUAGAACUCCACUUCUCUUUCUGGUGGAAUUCCUGGCAAUUCUUCUGGAAACACGUCCAUGAAUUCUUCUACAACUGAUAUACUUUCCGUUGCUAGAUUGAACAUCAUUGGGUCACUGGCGGGUGGCUGUGCCUGACAAGAGACUAACUUUCCCUGCUGGUCGAUGAGGAGGACUGUCUUGUCUGCGCAACUGAUGAUGCCUUUGUGUUUAGUUAGCCAAUCCAUCCCUAGGAUCACAUCAAUUCCUUUGGAUGGCAAGACGGUUAAGUCUGCUAGGAAUACUACCCCACUUAAAAGGAUUCUGACUUGGGAGCAUUUGAGCUGGCAUAGAAGGUCGGACCCUGGGGUUUGGGUGACCAAGGGAAUCUCUAGAGGAGUAGAGGGAAUGCCAUACUUUUCCACAAAGCUAGUGGCUAUGAAGGAGUGGGAUGCUCCAGAAUCGAAAAGUAUGGUAGCGGGAGUAAAUUCAACAAGGAACUCACCGAGUACUACUCCCGGAGCCUGCUGAGCUUCCUCGGCAUCGACGUGAUUUACUCGUGCCCUUCCUUGGUACGGAGCCUUGUUCUGCUGGCUGACGGCGGAGGGCGCCUUGGGGGCGGAUGCCGAGGUAUUCUUGGGGCCAUUCACCGAGUUGGAGUAGGCGGGUCCUGGUGGCUUUAGCUGCGGACAAUUGUUCUUGAAGUGACUGGGAUCACCACAGUGCCAACAUGCAUUUGCCGGGGGUUGGUUGCUUGCCACUGAGGGGGAAUGGAAAGAGCUCUGACUUUGCUGGCUGAAUCGUGACGGAGUGGGUCCAGCUGGUCUACUGAAGUUUGGUCCCUUGGGUGGAAACCCAAAUGAUCGAGUCUUCUGGUGCCGGUCCUGCUGCUGUGCCCGGAGAACCUAGAACUUCCUUUUGAGAUGCCCCUUUUCUUCCUCCUUUGCCUUUCAACUUGCAUGGCCUUGUUGGAAAGGUGAGAGAAAUUGAGGAAGUCUUGGCUAGCCAGAAUUGUCUUGAGUUCUGGCCUGAGUCCCUUCAGGAAAUGGGCCAUCUUCUUGCCCUCGGUACUGACAUCAUCUGGCGUGUAGCGGGCUAACUCUGUGAACUUGUGUACAUAUUCGCUGACAGAUCUUCCGUCUUGAGUCAAUUCUCGGAACUCGUCCUCCUUAAGCUGUACAAGUCCUUAGGGCACAUGGUGCUCCUGGAAAGCCGCUUCAAAUUCCGCCCAGGUAGCAUCUCUGAUGGUGAUGUUGAAGGUGUCCCACCAGGCUAAGUCCAUCCCGGAAAGUUGGUGGGCAGCCAGCUGAACACGCUGAUUUUCUGGGCAACCAAUGGCUUCCAGUUUUCUUUUGAUCGUGCACAUCCAAUCGUCUGCAUCGAGGGGGUUGCUUGAUUCGGCAAACGUGGGAGGUUUGAGUCUCAGGAAAUCCCCCAUUCUGUCUUGUGGUCUUCCACCAUUCGGCCGUUGAUUUUCCAGAUUUCGAGUGAGGACCUCGAUGAGUCAGGUUUGAUUGGCUAGAACUUGGGCUAGGUCUAAGGGUAGUGGUGGAGGUGCGGGGAGGUGGGUUUCACUUUCCUCUCUAACGGCUUCCCCUUCAGCUCUCAGGGGAAACCCUGCUCCAAUCCCGGAGGCGGUAGGCGUGGUUUUAUCCGAAGCCAUCUGCCAGGGAAGAGAGUCACUAUUAUGCACAUGCAAAUUGUUUUCAACCAAGUUAUGUUAUUCAUUACACCAUCACAUUACAAGCAUAAGACUACUACAGGUGGGACUACACGAGAGCGUUCCCCGAGGUACUAACGAACUCCUUCUCUAAGGUGUCCCCAAAUGCCUUGAGAAGAUCAUCAAGGCUUGCUAGGGAUAUAUCCUCGUCGUCGGACCAAUCAUCUAUUCUAGGGGGGAGGUAGGGCUAGAGGGGCCUUCUUCUUCUUCUCUGUUUGGCAUCCUUGGUUGGUGGUCUUCUUCUGGAUUUUCUUUUUGGGGGCGAGCUUCUUUAGCUUCUUGUCAUAGUCCAUCUUCAAGGUUCGAUAGGCCUCACGGGUGUUGGCUUCCUCGCCUUCUGCUAUGUCGAGACUCUCCUGGAGAGAUGCCUUCUCUUGCUUAAGCUCUUUGACUUGCUGCUCUAGGCUUUCCACUCGAGAGUUUAGGUGGGUGCAGUGGGAGGAGAGCUCAUCGUAGUGGUUGUCGAGGGUGUGGAGGUAUCCGGCCAUGUAGACGAUAGUGGGGUCAUCUUCUGUGGGAUCUCCUUCUGACAGAGCCUGGAGUCUUUUCCUCCAGGUGGGGGUGUUUUUGUUGCUAGGUGGGAAAUAUCGGAGGGGGGUCUCAGAGAUCUCUCGGCUAUAGUUUUGGCACAGUUGUUUGAGGGCUUUUCGAGCAACGCUCUAGCAAGUGUCUGGGAAGCGGUGCCCGAUGAAGGUAAUUUGGAAGGGAGGGUGGUUUGGGUAGUUCCGGCUUUCUCCCAAGUAGACCGCCAUAGAGCACUUUUCUAUUCCAUUUUCACGGUACUCCUUCCAGACAUAUUCGGGCUUCUUGCGGAUCCCCAUGCGUAGCGCGCAACUCCGAAGAAGGUGAGGAAAGCCUUCCUCCUCUGAGCAAUAGGAUGUCCUAAUCACCCAGGGGUUUUCCAUCUGGUAGACGAAAAGAGAGGUCUAUUAAUAUCGGGGAAAAGGGGAAAGAGUGUUUCUUGGGGGGUAAGAGGUGUUUUCUUGUUAAGGCAACUUUUAAGGUCAGGGUUGUGGUCUACGGCCAGUCCUAUAGGUUCUGAUACCACCUGAAGCGUCCCGAUCCUUUGGGACUCAAAUGUGAUAUAAUUACUAGUCCCAGGAGGCUAGUAACCACAUUCAUUACUUCAAAUAGUUACAGAGUCUGAAUAAUGUUAUUACAAUACCGGGGGAUACAAGCUCGAAAGUGAGCCGAAAAACAUAAAGCGCAGUGGAAGAUAAAAUAGCCCAGGCCACAGGCAGAACUGGGUGAAGACACAACCCCAUCAAUCAAGCAUAGCAGAAAAGAAGUCUUCAGCUGCUGAAAAACAUAAAUAAAUCUGGGUGAAUACACUAGGUAUUCCGCAAGCCCACCCGGCUCCCGUAAAGAGAAAGUGACCUAUAUGGUACAUGCUUAUUAUGGUGGAGUUGAAGUCACUCAUACUUUUUCAGAGAAAGGCAGUAUUCGUUGUUUAUGGUUUUCCCAAGACAAUAGGAGUAACACUUGCUUGACCACCACUGAGCUUCCCGCUCCCGUGGUACCACUUUCUUUUCAGACAUACACACACAUUUCCCUGUUCCCGGUUGUAGUAGAAACACUAAUUGUCAUACCAUUCCAGACUCGUUCAUACCAGUGGACACGGACUAUUCGAAUAGGUUUAUACUCUGCGCAGAGGGGUACACUUUACCCACUAGUCCGGCUCUGCGAUCUCAUGGCCAAUGAGACCCGAAUCCGAAACUCUUUCCUUCCUUGUACGUCCAAACCUUAACGGUUAUACCGGAAGGAGUCAGGCCACUGCCAUGUCCAAACCGGACAAAACAUUCCCCCUCCUUAUCCUCCCGGUGCUACCCCAGCCUUCAUAACCCUGGGGUUGGACCGUACGAGUUUAGAUCGAGUGGCUGCUCACACAGCCUCGAGUGGUUGUACUUUUUGUGAGUACAGGUAAUGAAAGAUGACAAACCGGUCCUUAUACGAGAGGACGAUCCUUCUGCUCAUGCCUAAACCAGCUGAGCCAACACCUUAGGCCCUCCCCUAAACCAGGGAGUCCCUGAUCAUCCUACUCACCAGGUGAUGAGGGUGAGUACCCUUCAUCGCACACUUUUGGAAAACAUUCCACUUGUACCCUUUUCACUUGCCCCAUAUCUUUUAAUCAAAGUAAUAGUUAAUGCGGGCUCUCUCAUGCUCACCAUGCAAUUCGAUUCCCAUCCCAUAAUCCAGGCUUAGGCAGUGGUAGAGAGAAAUAGGUAAAUAAUGCAUCAAGGGAAGGAUGAACUUGCCUUCGUCGAAGCUUUCCUGGCAUAAGAGGUUAAUCUCGGACGGGUCGGGUUCUUGCCCUUCUUCUGGAGCUAAGAGUUCCGGAGGAUCGGAUCCCUCUUCCGCUAAUUAAACAUAGAUAAUAACAAUACAUCAAACAUAGUGACCUUUGUGGGGUGUGCAAAUUUUUAUACUUUAUUUUUUUUGUGCCCUAAUAAUUUAUUUAGACAAUUUUUGGUGCAUAAAAUAUUAGCAUCUAAAUAUAUAUGUGAAAAUGGGAAAAGAAAAAGAGAAAGAAUUUUCCAGCCAACUGGGCCGGGGGGGAUUUUGGCCCAAAAGGCGCCAGCGCGAGCGGGCGGGCGUGCUUUCGGCCCACUUGGCCCAGCCGCGCGGGGCGACGGCGGGGGAACGGCGCUGCGGUGCGGGCCCGCACGCCAGAGAGAGGGGGGAGGGAACGGCGUUAACGGCACGGAGGGGGGUGAGGGCUCGACCAGGGCCGGUCGGCGGCGAGCCCCGCGGCGGUUCUCCGCCGUCGGUCCAGUUUUGCGGUGGGGAAGCGGUGGCGGAGCAUGGGCGGUUGAUAGGGGUCACGGGGGUGGGGCGAAUUUCGCCUGCGGGGGCCUAUGGCGGCCGGUCCGCGGCACGGUGGCGGGUGCCCGCGGCGGUGAUGCCGCCGGUGAGGUUUCCGGCCACAAUAGAGUGGGGGAAGUGGCGUGUCGUGACCGUGAGAGUAUGGCGGAGCUCUUGGCAUAACUUAAUUGAACGGAAGAUCGCUAGAGAGGGAGAGGGGAGCUCAUCGGAGCGGUGAAGGGAGCACGGCGGCGCUAGCUUGAACGGCUCGGGGAGGAGGGCAGUGGGGGUGGCCGGAGCUGUGUGGCGAAUACGGGGCUCGGGCGGGUCCUUUUAUAGGCGCUCGGGGGAGGGAGGGGGAUGGGGGAGACGGCGAGCACCGGCGAGCUCGCCAUGAUGGCGGGAAUGGUGCUAACGCCGAUGCGAUGGCUCGGGCAGGCUGGGGGGUGAGGGGUCGGCUCAAGCACAGUGGCGGGGUUGUCGCGGAGGCUGGCGAGCAUUAAUGGCGAGGCGACGAGGCGAGGGGGCGCUCGGCGGCGGACGCGCCGGUGAGGGAUGGGCGAGGGGGAUGGAACUGACGAGUGGGCCCUGGCUGCCAGCGAGAGGAAGCUGCGCGAGAGGGAGGGGGUGAGGCGCUGAUGGGCGGGGCCCGGGUGUCAGCGGGAGGGAGCCGCGCGCGGGUUGGGCCGCCUGGGCCGGGGAGAGAGGGGGAGGAAGUGUGGGCGCGUGCGGGUUGGGCUGGAAUUCGGCCUAGCCGUGGGAGGGGGGGAAGCUUUUCUUUUUCUUUUUCUAAUUCUAAUCCCUUUCUUCUCCUUUUUCUAUUUUUGUUUCUUUUUGAUUCUUUUUCUUUGGAGACCAAAAAUAUUUUCUAAGUGAUCUUGAGUGAGAAACAUAGUCUAUGUGAGGUGCUCUAAUUAUUUCAAGUGUAUGCACAUGAGAAGGGGUUCUAAGGGUAGGGUUAAGGGGGAAAGGUAAAAUAAGGGGGGGGGGAAUUAGGAGGUUAGGGUUUCAAACCUUGGGUGGGAUUUUGGGAUGUUACAUUAUCUAACAAACUCAUAAACAAUAAGUUAAAGGGCCUACCCAUAACUUGUUUUUGGGUCUCAAUGCUUCAAAGGUUCGACCAGUAAAAGGAGUGCAGGUUUAGCAACUAAAUCGAGCUAAUUUUGUGUAUUUAGCGGGCUAAAUAUGACUAUUAGCGGCUAAUUUUGAUCAGCGCUAAAUAAUGCAUCUCUUAGCUCCAGAUCUCCUGAAAGGCUAUAACCGGCUAAAUAGCUGCUAUUAGCUGGCUUUUGAAAACCUUGCUCUGUGCUGGUCUCGAGUGGAUAAAGCAUGGGUGACAGAAGGCUGGAGAGCAAGUGGGUCGAAAUAGUUCGCUUGUUUUUGAGGAAUCCGUAGAACCCACAUUUUCAAGAAGUAUUUCGAUCCAGAACCAACAUAAUCCACGAGACUUUUGAACCAAACAUGGAUUGUUGUGGGUUAAAUCCUUUCCAACCCGCAUCAUCACGCUAACCAAACACACGUGUGAGGUUUCGCCUUACCCGAUGAGUGAGGUUUCGCCUUACUCGAUGCCAGUUUGCCUUUACUUUUUGUCUUGAUAUCAGUAGCUCCAUUUAACUUUCAAGCGUCUAAAAAAACUCUCUUCCGCAUCUACAACUUUUCAGUUAAUGACUUCUUUAUUCAAGAUCAUCUAUAAUAUUAAAUAUACAAUACAAUAUUUAAAAAAAUUGUAGUUGAAAAAUAGUAUCGGUUGUAUAGUGACAACUAUUAUAUAGCUUAACCGGUAUAGAAGCUCGAUGGAACCUUAAGAUAUUGAGUUCAAAUCCAGUAAUCUAGCAGUGUUAUAAUUGAUAGUGAUAAAUUUUUUGAUAAAAAUAACUCUUUAAAUGAUGAUUUAGAGAAUAUCUUUAACAUAGACUCUAGAAAAUUUCAUAAAGAUGCCGAUCAAGUAAUCCUGGCUAACUAUAUGAAGCUUUUUGAGAAAUUAUGUAGGCUUAUAAGGUCACACACAAUAAACUUCUACUUUCUAGUACUUGCAUACUUAAUUAGUUUGUUCUAUAUCAAAUUAUCCUAAAUUUUACCAAAUUUAUAUACACGAGUAUUUGCAUUACAGAAAUAUAUUUCACAAUUCCAUUCAAUAUACUUAUUUUCUAUUAGGAUUGGUGCCUCAUUUAGUGGAGGACGGAUUAUCUAUCUUGCAAUAUCCAGAUGAUAUUAUCCUGUUUUUGGAGCAUGACUUGGAGAAAGCCAAGAAUAUGAAAUUACUUCUCCUGUCUUUUGAGCAAGUCUCAGGGUUAAAAAUUAACUAUCACAAAAGCGAGAUUUUUUGCUUUGGUCAGGCCUCCGAUGUUAAGGAUCAAUAUCAAUUGUUGUUUGCAUGCAGAAAUGGGGACUAUCUGUUUAAAUAUUUACGGAUACCAAUGUAUUAUCGGAAGUUAAACAAUAGUGAUUGGAAAAUAGUAGAGGCAAAAUUCGAAAAGAAGCUCAGCAGAUGGAAAGGGAAGCUUAUGUCUGUUGGAGGCAGAUUAGUCCUAAUAAAUUCAGUGCUUACCAGUUUAGUUAUGUUUAUGAUAUCUUUCUUCGAGAUACCCAGAGGGGUUCUCGAGAGAAUAGACUGCUUUCGGUCUAGGUUCUUUUGGCAAGGAGGGAAUCAUAAGAAGAAGUACAGACUUGCCAAAUGGAACAUCCUAUGCCAACCUAAGGAUCAAGGAGGGUUAGGAAUUCAGAACAUAGAAGUUCAAAAUAAAUGCUUGCUAAGCAAAUGGCUUUUUAAGCUUAUUAAUGAGGAUGGGAUGUGGCAACAAUUGGUGCGUAACAAAUAUCUUAAGAGAUAUCCGUUGUGGAAUGUGAAACUUAAACAUGGUGAUUCACAUUUUUGGUCGGGGUUAAUGAAAGUAAAUGAUACCUUCCUUAACCUAGGAAAUUUCAUUAUUAAAAAUGGGGAACAAAUAAGGUUCUGGCAGGACAUUUGGAUGGGUACUCAAUCCUUUAUGAUUUGUUACCCGUCUCUUUAUCAUAUUGUAAGACAUAAAAGUGCCACGGUUGCUACAGUUUUGGCUACAGUACCUUUAAAUGUAUCAUUCCGUAGGGUGCUUGUCGGUCAAAACCUCACUUUGUGGUAUAAUUUAGUGGCAAGUAUAUUACAUGUUCAGUUGAGUGUCGAUAGGGAUAUUUUUAAAUGGAGUUUAACUAAUUCUGGGCAGUUUACAGUUCAAUCUAUGUAUAUGAGUCUUAUUAAUAAUGGGAAUGUUUUUAACCAUAAGGAAAUAUGGAAACUUAAACUGCCACUUAAGAUUAAAAUCUUUAUGUGGUACUUAUUAAAAGGAGUAGUGCUGACGAAAGAUAAUUUAGCAAAAUGCAACUGGCAAGGUAGCAGUAAGUGUGGCUUCUGUAAUUUGGAUGAAACCAAUCAGCAUUUAUUUAUUGACUGUCAUGUUGCUCACUUUAUGUAGCGGUUGAUAUCAAUCUGUUUUGGUUUACCAGGACCUAGAUCUGUUAAACAUUUCUUUGGGAACUGGUUGAUGGGGGUGGAUUUAAAUACUAAGAAUCUCAUUAUUACAGGUGUCUCAGCAUUGUGUUGGGCUAUCUGGAUAAGUAGAAAUGACUUAGUAUUUAAUAGAGCACAAAUGUUUACUUAUUUGCAGGUUCUAUUCAGAGGAACUCAUUGGCUCAGACUUUGGACGCAGCUGCAAAGAAGUGACGAUUCAGCGAAUCUGUUAAGAAGAGCUUGUCGACAUCUGGAGACGAUGGCCAUGCACUUUUUUGCUUAUCGGGGUUGGAGGUUUUCUAAUAGGAUUACAUUGUAUUGAUCGUUUUCCUUUUUAAGUGAGUGUUGAAUCGGUGAGGAGUAAGGGAGAGUUUAAGUCUUUUAGGCUAAAUGUUUUUGCCUUAUUAUGCGAGUACUUGGAGUUGUUAUUUGGUGUCUGACUUUGGCCCUACCCUCGAAAGAGGCGAAAGCCGGAUUUUGUUCCAUUAUCUAAAAAAAUACUUAUUUUCUAUAAACUUGGUGAAUCUUAUAAUAGUUUAACUUAGAGCAACUUUAAAUGUGAAUCUUAUAAUAGUUUAACUUAGAGCAACUUUAAAUGCAUUACGUAAUACUUAUUGGAAUUUGGCCUCUUUAGCCCACUUAUGGGUGGUCCAAUUCAUAUAAGAAAUCCAAGGUGCUGUGUAGGGAUAGCAUCAGGGACUUUAGUCGUACAUUACUUAUCCAGGUAAGAGAUAACCAAUUUAAACGUGAGGGUGUGCACUACUCUUCACAUGUGACACACAAAGGGCUGUGGAGACUGGUAUGAACUGACACACGCGCUCACUCGCAUUUCAGGUUUUUCACGAAAUUAACGCGUGGCUUGUGACUUGCGAUGAUGAAUGAUCGCGUCGUGACAUGUUCUAAAUAGCAGUUUAUUUUUUGUCUUUUAUUUAUUUGGUUAUCAAGUACCACACCUAGCUAGACUGCCAUGUCAAUCGAGAGUAAUUAGGCGCGCACUGCGUGAACUCCGUGCGGUUGUACUUAGAGAGAUUUGAGAGGACGGUUACUGGAAUUUAGUAGAUCGAAUCUGGAACAAUUGCGGCGACUCUUCUAUAAAGGGGAGAUGUCCUUUAGACGAAAGGCAUACAACAAUCAACCUACUCGUCUUCUCAUUCUGAACUUUAUGUGUUACCGCUUCUCUACUCUAUCGUCCCUGCGUCUGCCAUGCAACAAAUCAAGGAAGACCAGUGUAUUCGAACCAACACAGAUAUUUUGACGACCUGCACGGGCGUUGAGAAAUUAGGUUUCUGGGAAGUGCACCACGCACGUAUGUUCAUGUUCUUCAAAUCCAGUUGUGGGAAGCACUAUAAGUAGAUAUGCAAUUUCUGUUUAUCAUGACACAGAUCUUUUGCAUAGAUCUAUUGUUCAUUUGUCUUCUGUUCAUUAAUUGUUUGGUUUGGUGAAUCUGAUGCUUUUCAAGAGUACAUUACUAAAGCACAUAAUCCUAAAUUUGUGAAGUCUUCUAGGCAAACCACAACUUGAGAUCUAAUUAAGCUUUACAAUGAACGUGUGCUUAAGCUUAUUGAGUCAUUUCAAUCUGUUUCAUCUGUUGCUCUAACUUCUGAUAUCUGGAAUGUUAAAGCUAAAGAAGACUACAUUUAUGUUGUUGCUCACUUUUUGAAUUCCAAUUGGGAGCUAGAAAAAAGAUUGAUUGGUCUUAGGGUCAUAUAUGUGAAACAUUCUGGUAAUAAUUUAGCAGAACAUGUUAACAUGGUUGCUGAUGAGUGUGGUUUAAGUGAUAAAAUAUUUGCUAUUACUCUAGAAUCUACUUUUAGUUUGGUUGGCAGGGUUAUUGAGGAACAUCGUCGACGGCUCAUACCGGACAUGGUGGAGGUUCUAUCAUGUAUCAAAGACCGGGAGUUAGCAGAUUUACACAAGCAACACAAUCUUGAGAAUGACACAUAGAAAUAGAAUUGUCCUUGAAAGAUUGAACAAUGAUGGAGGAGGAGACGAAGAAAGCCAAUCAAGGACUCAAGAGUUAAGGGUGAACGAGUGAAUUAUUGUAACUUGUAAUAUUGUCCUCUGUCUCUAUCUCUGGUGAAUUGUUGUAUUGAACUCUGAACACAGUUGCAUACGUUAUAACUUUGAGCUGGUUGUACCUUUUUCCCUUUUUAGGGUUUUCUCACAAGGUGUGAGUUUUUAUCUAGGAAGGUUUCUAAUAAGGCGACAUUGCAUAAACAACUCAAAUAAUAUUUUGUCAUUCAAUUCUUGUGUGGCCUUUAGUGUUUUUUGUGAAUUCUGUUAUAUACCAAUAUAUAUGUGAUUUUCGGGCCAGACCCGCCCCUGUACUAAUGAGCUAUCCAAGCCAACGGUACGGCAUGACCUACCUGAGUAGCAAGCGAGUCGUGCCUAGACCGAAGGGUCAACACGCUAGGUAAGCCCGGCACGAUCCAGAUGUUACCCGUGCCGUGCCUGGCACGCCCCGAAUGGGCCGGGCCGGAGCGGACCAUUUGGAUAUCUAUAAGUCCAAGCAGCUCCAUACAUGUUUGCAGGUGCAGCAGUCCGAAUAGCUACAAUAUUGCUGGCUGCUAGUCAGCCGAACAAUAUAGAAAUAUGAUUUAUAAUGACGGUUUUUAAAAAAAAAACUACCAAUAGAAAUAACACUAACGUAUGAUAACUGAAACCGUACUACAAAUUAAACUUCACCAUAGACUUUCAGUUAUUUUUCUACAAGUGAGGGUUCCGGUACAAUGAGUCAACGAGCUACAAGCGGUGGUGGGCGCGGGAGGCAGUGCCGUCGUCGAAGUUCUGGUAGUAGCUAUGCAGGUCAUACCCGAACCUCACCACGGUUCGCCUCGGCCGCGCCGUGCGUCUUCUCCAAGAGCGCCUCAACCUCGACAGCAGCAGCUUCACCGCCGCAGCUGACCGGCGAUCGCCGCUCCUAGCGUGGACGACCCUCCCGCCCAAGCCGCUGCCCCCGAUCUAUGGGCCUUGCAGAGACGCCGCCAUGAUCGUUCACUCGGUUCUCACAAGUCACACACUCUUACGUUGCGACUAACUAGCUAGCGCUAGCUAGGUGCUCUAUCUGCUCCGAGCUGGCGUCGUAGGUAUCUGCUGUGUGCUGCAGUGUAGCUUCUGAAGAUCUUGUGCAAGCAAAACGAUACUCCAUGCCCGCAGCUUUAUAAGCUCGGAUGCUGGGAGCAUUCCGACACGUGUCGAUCCAACCGCCACUAGUACACAGAAGCUCUAUAGUGGCGGUUCUAAACCUAUUUACACUGGCGUUUUUCAGUACCGCCAGUGCUAGGGGCCAGUGGAAAUCAGCAUUUCCACUGGCGGUUAUUUUGGAACCGCCAGUGAUAAUAGAAUUUCCACUGGCGGUUUUCUUAAGGAAACCGCCAGUGAUAAUAGAAUUUCCACUGGCGGUUUGCUUUAUAAAACCGCCAGUGGAAAUGCACUUUUCACUGGCGGUUUUCUUUAUUUAGCCGUCAGUGGAAGUUUUCCCGCCUUUUUUCAAAAUUUCAAACAAUACUGAAUUAUAUAUAUAUAUUUAUUUACACACACACAAACAUAUAUAUAUAUAUAGAUCUAUAUUGAUAUUGAAAGCAACAUGAAAUUAAAUUCUAUCAUACAUUUAUAUACAUCAAAGUAUUCUUUUUACAACCAUAUAUGCUUCAUGCAUUCUACACAUCAUAAGUUUUCACCUAAGCUCUAAUAACUAUCUCGGCUAAGAGAUAAUCUACUAAUUUCUGUUAGUAUUCUAAACUCUGGCAAAGCUAAUGUUCCGGAAGCAUCGUGAUAUUUUCCUUCUGCGGGAAUGACCUCUUUCAAUAUGAAUGUGCAGAGGUCCUCGACUAUGCCAUACAAUGCAGCUUCGGUCAAGUUCUCCGGGUUUCCUCGUUGAAAUUGCUGUAAAGGAAUUUUAUAAACAUCAUCUAUUUAUACUCAAUAAUAACACAUUUGCAUCUUUAAUGACAUAAAUACAUACUUGACUAUUACUAAUAAUACCUUGUCAGGGUUCGUGAUGUAUCGUCCGUUCACUCUCAUGAACUCGCACGCAUAGAAUUCACAUAGGACCGAUCCUUGUGGUUGCUUGUGGCACUACAUAACGGGAGAUUGGUUAUUUAGUUGCAACAUUGUGUAUGAUAUGUAUUCGUAAAAUCACAUACUUACCGGCCAGUGAUGAUGGAUGUCUAGUGGCACGCGUUGUUUCGACAGGUCGUACUUUCCACCUCUCAUCUUAUAGAAUCUAUAAGCCCUGUGAUCUCAAAUAGAAUCACCAUGUUAUUCUCAAAUUUUAAUCGAUAAAAGUAUGCAUGCAUAGAAAAGGCUUACAGCUCUAAGAUGCUGAGGAAUUCUGCAUAUGUCGAAGGGUCGAAGUUCAAGGAGUCGAGCACCAGCACCUUUCCAACCUUAGGAUAAAUGAGGAAGCAUAUCCAGUGGUCCCUGUACGAAUCAAAUUUGUGAUGCAUGUGUAUUGAAAUUAUUAAUUUUAUUUAUGCAAAAUCACAGUUACUUAAAGUUGUACGGGGCCAUUAUGGCUUCCCUGUCUUGAAAUUGAAGCAUUGCAUGUCCUAUGUAGGUGGCGUAUCGAGCUUCAAAAUCCUUCUUCAUGUCCUUUAUACGCUUCUCAACUUCUUCGUCCGUCUUUCCCCGUAUUUCAUCGUUGUCUUUCCCGAUUCUAAAAGUGUGUCUUUCCUCGGAUAUAAGUAUUGGGUUGAGAUACCCAACCCUUUUACUGGCACUAGCAUUGGGCUUGGUACCGUAAAGGAUCUCCUGCUGAUCAUGUUGCAUUCUGCAAGUCACACGUGCAUGUCAGAUAUUGAAAUUUUAUACAGCUCACUAAUAAUAACACACAUAUGUGGAAGUAUGAGCGACACUUACAAUGCAAACAUCGUUACAAGUUGCACGUCGAGUCUCUGAAGGUUCAUCAUUAACCACAUGUCCUCGAAUGUAACAACGGCCUUUUGGUCCGAACCAAUAAAAGCAUGGUCUGGUAUAUGCACACUGAUGGUGUCGAUGCCAACCGAUGAUGCCCGCAUGUACCAGUCAUGCAACCUUUUAACACCAGCCGGGACCUUUCUUAGUUUCUCAAGAGGUAGCAGAGGUCUGCCCGGCACAUAUUUUUUAGGCACGUUUUUGUAAUCUGCCUUAGUUGGCUUCUUUAUCUUUGCGGCCAUUGCCUCAGCCUUUUUUGCAGACUCCUCGUGCUCGGCCAAAUCAACAGUUUGUGACGUGAGGCUCCGUCCAAUCCCUUUCAAAAAUCGAGCUGUGCCAGCAGUACUAGCUUUACUCUUCUUUUUCUGAUACGGGGACACCAAUUUUGGUAUAGGAAGUUUAGAUUUCUUUGAUGGCCGUGGAUCCUUUGAUGGCUGUGGAGAAGGUGGAUCCCUUGAUGGUGGCGUAGACAGUGGGUCACCAAGAGGAUGGGGAGGAGAAGGUGGUGGAGCCCUGAAUGGUGAUGCUUGUGGCAGAGACAGUGGGUCAGAAAAAGGAUGAGGAGCAGCAUGUGAAGUUUGAGGAGGUGAUGAUGGAUGUACAAUAGGAACAUCAAUUUGAGAAGGAGGAGACGGUUGGGCCUGUGACGAAUUCGACCAAUCAAGCAAUUCGACAUCCCUUCGAGGCCAAAGGAUAAAAUUCUUGAUAGCUUGUCCAAGUUUCUCGAUACCUUCGGGCCCAGGGAUGUCUAGCAUGUCGUCCUCGGAUCCUUGGACGACCGUCGUCACUUCUACUUUGCAAUAAUCAUCUGGAAUAUCGUUUCCAUGGAACUUGCGUCCUGGGAUCGCAAGGCCUGUGGCUACUUUCUUUGUACGUUUAUUGUUAAUACCAUAUCUUAUAACCAGUGUGCACGCCACAGGCCUUGUGAUGUCAUCAACUGGAUAACUGACCUUAUUUCCCGUUGAAGCAACAGAGCUUGGGAAUGUCGUACAAUCGGUGGAAGCCGGCGGUUGAGCUGCUGGAAUUAUUUGUAUCUGUGGAGUGGUCAUCUGUUGAACAGACAUCGCACUCGCCAACUGUUGCAUCAAUUCUGGAGGAGGAUUCGAUAGCAUUUGAGACAUCAUGGCUUUGAACUCUUUCUUGGCCUCCUCCUUAAAAUAAUCCGCCAUCUCUUCCUUGUAUCGAUCACGUUUCUUGUACAGACCUUCCCACUGUGGUCUGAAUCCUUCCUUCCAUCCUUCCUUAGACGAGAUUCCUCGUACACGACCAGGAUGCUCAGGGUUACCGAGACCAGCCGUUAGGAUGUCUCUUUCCCUUUGUGGCUUAAAAGUUCCUUGGCUCUGCUUAGCUGCCAUUGUAUAUAUGUUUUUUGCCGCUUCUUCGACAAUGGGAUCAUCAAAAGAUACACCGGUCUCGGUUUCCCUUGGUUUUCUAGCACGGAGCCAAUUUGCCGCCCUUUCACCAAGUUGCUCGGACAACGUCGGCAACCCUACGGCCUUCUUCUCGGCGUCUUCUUGUGUCCAUUUAGGAACCUGACGCUUGUAACCACCUGUGCCUAGGUGGUGGCGGUACUUGUUCUUCUUUGAUAGUUCCGAAUUUGCCUCACUUAGAGAUAUGAAAUCAGGGCUGCUCCUCUGCUCUAGAAAUACUGCCCACUGACCUGCUGAGAUUUUAUAUUUUUUGGUCGGUUCCAGACCUUUCUUUGCAAACUUUGUGUUCAUCUCAGACCUCCAGUUUCGGAAAUUGAUUGCAAGCUGCUUCAUCGUGUAUUCCUUCACGAGUUCUUCUGAACCCCGAGGCAGAACGAACCUCAUUAAUAGCUUAUUCCAUAUUUGAUUCUUGACAUCAUCUGACACAUCUCUCCACUGUCGUAUUGUUAUGUCAAGAUUAUCUCUAACUAAAAACCCAAGUGCAUUCCGGAACUUAGGUAGUGCCUCUUCUGGAGCUAGGGGCUGACCUUUCGGGCUCACGUCUGAGAUUUUGUAUGUUUUGUCGGGAAACUUGUUCAGCCCCCUGUCACCUCUUUUUUGAUCGCUCUGCUUCCUUUUCCUUGACGUCUCGGUUGUUGUCUUGGUCUGUUCCGGUGCGUCUUGGGUCGGCUCCGGUACGUCUUCAUAUCGUGCCACGGCUUCUUCGAGUAUCGCACGAAAUUCAGACACGACCUUCUAUUCAUGUAAUAAAAUGCACAAGAGAUCAUGCAUGUGAAAUCAGUAGGGUACACAUACGAAGCUAAAGAUGCGUACUUUUACCUCAGCUUCUCGUGGAUCAUAAGUAGGGUCACGUUGCAACUCACGGAGAGCGGCCCUAUCUAUGCUAGUGGUAGGAAAAGGGUCGCUAGGCGUUUCAUAUCCUUCACUGCUGGAUUGUUCUUGAGCAACACUCUUGUCCAUGUGGUCGGGCACUAAUCCUUGGUCCUUGAUCGGAGAACUCUUGAUCAUGGAUGCCUCGGGACAAGCACGGGUUGAUACAUAGCCAUUCAGUAUUGACAUGAAAAGCUCAUACGUCCACAUUUCAUGCAAGUACAUAGGACCCAAUGCCUCUAUUUGUGGCACCAAGUGCACCACAAGGUGCACCAUAAUAUCAAAGAACGAUGGAGGGAAACACAUCUCAAACUGUGAUAUUGUCUCCACUGCGAAUUCCUGAAGAGAUGCCAACUCAUCACGGCCAAUUACCUUUUGUGAAAUCCUGUUGAAAAAGUAGCACAACCGUGUGAUUGCCAUCUUUAAAAACAAAGGAUUUAUAGCCCUGAUGGCAAUAGGUAGGAAUGUAGUCAGCAUGACAUGGCAAUCAUGUGAGUUGUAGUUGGUGAUUGUCAGGUCUUUCAUUGACACAAUACUCCGUAUGCUAGAGCAGAAUCCAGAUGGGACUUUCAAAUUCUUGAGCCAAACACACAUCGCAUGUUUCUCAUCUACAUUGAGAUUGUAGCUUGCUGCUGGGAGAUGGUACUUCCCAUUUUCUUGAAGAACGGGAUGUAGUUCCUUUUUUAUGCCUAAAUCUACCAAGUCCAUGCGUGAAUUGAGCCCUUCUUUUGUUUUGCCCUUUAUGUCUAGCAAGGUGCCCAUUAUGCUUUCAAACACGUUCUUCUGAACGUGCAUACCAUCGAUCGCAUGCCGCACAUCUAACUCUUUCCAGUAAGGCAAGUACUCGAAGAAAAUAGACUUCUUCUUGAAUAUAGCCCCCGGAGCUGGUUUGGCAUCCUUCCUUGUUUUUCCGUCUUUUGUCUUCUUCCCGAAAACAAACUUGAUAUUCCUGACUAUUUCAAAAACUCUAUGACCUCUAUUGUUACCCGAUGGAGCAGUAGAAUGUAGUUCACCAUUAUUGUCGAAGUACUUAUCCAUCUUUCGCAUGCGGUACCUGUGUCCUUCCAAUAAAAAGCGUCUGUGCCUCAUGUAAACUAUCUUCUUAGAUGCAGCAAGGGAUACGUAAGCAGUUCCAUCAAUGCAUACUGUGCAACCAACCUUUCCCUUAAACUGGCCUGAUAAUGUGAAGAGAGCAGGGUAAUCGUUGAUCGUAACAAAAAGAAUUGCUCUCAGCGUGAAUGAACCUUUACGAUACUCAUCCAACAUUUGAACACCCGUUUCCCACAAUAUUUUCAUAUCCUCCAUUAAGGGCUCCAAAAAUACAUCCAUGUCAACUCCAGGUUGUGUAGGUCCAGAAAUAAGGAUGGUUAGCAAAAUGUACUUCCGUUUCUGCAUCAACCAUGAAGGAAGGUUGUAUAUGGUGAGGAUCACCAGCCAUGUGCUAUGCUUGCUGCUCCUCUCAGCAAAUGGGUUCAUUCCAUCAGUACUCAGUGCGAACCUAACAUUUCUUGGUUCAUCGGCAAAGUCUCGGUGGUUGUCAUUGAAAUCUUGCCACUGCUUCCCAUCGGCUGGAUGUCGAAGCUUCCCAUCGUUUUUGUGCUCAUCAGAAGCAUGCCAGCUCAUAAGUCUGGCAUCCUUAGGAUUAGCGAACAAACACCUCAAUCGAUCGACGACGGGGAGGUACCACAUCACCAAAGCAGGAAUCUUUUUGAGCGCAUAAUAGUCUACUUCUUUUUCUUUGCUCGUGGAUUUUGAAGUCUUUUUUUGGGCUUUCUUUCGCUUCUUCCCUUUAGACACGGAUGCAACACACUCUUCCUCUCGAUAGUCUUUAUUCGUCUUGUACCUACUUGCACCGCACUUUGGGCAGCUCUCCAAGUCUUUAUAAUCAUCACCUCGAUAAAGGAUGCAGUGAUUUCUACACGCGUGGAUUUCUCCACACCCAUAGUGAGCGGACUGAUUAGUUUCUUUGCAUAGUACGUGUUAGCAGACACUUUGUUCUCCUUUGGAAGCAUGUCUGCGAUAAUACUCAAGAACGCAUCGAAGCCAGCAUCAGACACACCAUAUCUAGCUUUUAACAUCAACAGCUUUAGCACAGACCGGAGCGUCGUGAACUCUUUGGUACAACCCUUAGACUCGUCGUACAAAGGCUCUUCUGCUGCCUUCUUCAGGGACUCCAUACCUUUCAUGAAGAACAUCGAUUGAUCUGUAUGACGACGCAACAUUGCCUCUAGCAACUCUGCAUCUUCCUCAUCCAUAACACUUGGCAGAACAUGAGGUCUAUCAUGUUCAUUUCCUCCAGCGUAACCAUGAUCAGUAACAUUUUGCACUACAUGUUCGCUCUGUGGAAGAGGUUGGUGUGUCUCGUGAACGAAUUGAAAUCUGUCGUCGAUGUUCUCAGGGUUUCCAGUCGUAUAAGGCGAAGAGCUACCCUCUCCAUGCUUUGUCCAAAUUGUGUAAUCCUUCAUAAAUCCUCGGCAUACCAGAUGAGAUAUGAUUUGUUCUGUGUCAUUAAAUACAGCAGCAUUUUUGCAGUCCAUGCAUGAACAAUAUAUGUGUUUUGUCUUUGUUCUCCAAGCAUGGUUCGUAGCGACAUCAAUAAACCUAUGGACCUCAGAUAUGUAUGAUGGAUCUAGCCUUGAUAAGUUAUACAUCCAGGAUGUCCUCUCCAUCACCACCUGUAAAAAAGUAACAUAAACACACAAGAACCAACCUUUCUUAGCAACCUUCUUCCAAAAAUAAAGAUAAAAACCUCCCCCCUUGUAUUUUGUGAAAUCUGGCCCUCCAAUGGAAGUUGGGCUGCGAGCUAUAGUUCUUGUCGGGAAGGAUGAAGGGGUGAAACCCUAUAUCCAAAAUGUGGCUAAAUUUGAGGAAAAUGAACAAAAAUUAGCAAGAGGAACAUAAAACCAAACUUUCCUAGCCAUACUCUUCUCUCUAACACAUGGUGAAGGCCUAGUUCCAAAAUUGAGCAAAGAUGAACAAUAAUUGGCAAUUAAAACAUAAUUAAACCAACCUUUCAUAGCAACUAAUAAUAAAAACAAUCUUAAUUACCAAACCUAUCUUCUUCUCUCUCCACACAACACAUGAACCAUUCAUUAAACAACUUAAUAUGUCAUGGAUAAACUGAUUUGAGAACUAAACAUGAAAAAGGAGAGAGGAUAGACAAAAUCUAACCAUAUUAAACAACUUUAUUUGAGAGAAUAGAGAAAAUAACCUAGCUAUACACUUUCUCUCAAAUGGUGAAACCCUAGAUCCAAAAUGUGGCUAAAAUUGAGCAAAAAUGAAUAAAAAUUGACAUUAGCAACAUAAACCAACCUUUCUUAGCAAUCUUCUUCCAAAAAAUGAAGAUCAAAACCUCUCCCCAUGUAUUUUGUGAAAUCUGGACCUCCAAAAUCGCCUCCAAUGGAAGUUGGCUGCGAGCAUACAGUUCACUGUCGGGGGAAGAAGAGGGGUAUUUAUAACAGACAGUUCACUGGCGGUUGGCUUUAAAAACCGCCAGUGGAAACCUAUUUCCACUGGCGGUUAUCUUAACACAACCGCCAGUGGAAAUAGGAUGUUUCCACUGACGGUUAAGUUAAGAUAACCGCCAGUGGAAAUCAAUUUUCACUGGCGGUUGGUGUUACACAACCGCCAGUGGAAACAUCCUAUUUCCACUAGCGGUUGUGUUAAGAUAACCGCCAGUGGAAAUAGGUUUCCACUGGCGGUUUCUUAAGCCGGGCCCACCUGUUUCUUUCACUGACGUUUGAUAACGGAAACCGCCAGUGAAAAGUUGAACGUGUCGCAGGCUUUAAGCUCUUUUCUACUAGUGCGCCACCCGGUCCCACCAGCACGCACUCACGUACAUGGUGACGACGAGGCAUCCACUACGGCGAUCAUCUGAAAGGUCCAAGCAGCUCCAUGCAUGUUUAUGUAAGUCGCCGCCGUGCAGUCGAAAGAAACAUAACUGUCAACUAGCAACAACGGACGCACGUGCAUAUUUGCUUUAGUGACGCAAAUCGGACCUCGGUAGCCAGCUAGAGGAUCAAAGGUUGGCCAUGGCAACUGGCGGCGCCUACUCACUUGAUCUGCUUCCUAUCCGUCCUGCCGAUAAGGUCGGCGGCUUCCUGCCCGUCUUGCCGCUGGAUCAUGCAUGUCGGACUCGGAGUCACUACCGGAAUCCGGGCACCAGUAUAGCACUCGGAACUAUACCACUCGGUAAAAAACCAAGACCUGAGCACCAGUAUAAGUUCUUUGUCGAGUGUAGUGGCUCUGGCACUCGGCAAAGAAGCACACUUUGCCGAGUGCCAUACCAGGCAUUCGGCAAAGUACCUGACAUGGGGACCUCUCUGGCGGAUUCUUUGCUGAGUGCUGUUAGGCACACACUCGGCAAAGGUAACUUCUUUGCCGAGUGUUGCCUGGGACACUCGGCAAAGACUCCGUCUCCGUCACCCAUCGCCGUAACGGAUGCUUUUCUUUGCCGAGUGCUCUCUGGCACUCGGCAAACCACUUUGUCGAGUGCCCGAAAAAGUACUCGGCAAAGACGGUUUUACCGAUGCACUGUAUGCCGAGCCCUUUUGUCGAAUGCGACAUUCGGCAAAGCGUUUACCGAGUGUUUUUAAGGCUUUAUCGAGUGUUUCAGGCACUCGGCAAAGCCGUCGGUUCCGGUAGUGAAUGGUCACCUCUGUUACUGUAGAGAUACAGGCCGGUAGGUCAGCGGCUAGACACGUGGCGUGUCCAAUGCAUGCACGCAUGUGUGGAGGGAGCUAGCUAGCUACAUGGCCCAUGGCCGCCGGCACCAUGGAUGUGUUCCACAUGCAUGCGGCCGAGGUUGGAUAUGGAUGUUAGUUGUGCAGAAGUCAGCGUCCAAUCAGAGACAACUAGCCAUAUUUCCGUGCAAUGCUACGGUUUAUGUGUCCGUGCAAUGCUACAAUUUUUAUAGGAUAAAUUUUAUUUUAAUAAAGCAUAAUAUAUAUAUUUUCUAUUGAUUAAGUAGUUGUGAAUGUAGAGCCAACAACUAAGGUUUAAAUACUCCCUUAUACAUAAUUUCACCUUAUUUUUUAUAUAAACUCUUCUAUUAUAGCAGUAGAGAAGAGAUUAUAGUAGUGCGGAUUGAUUCUAAACAAAUGUAGUUUUUUUAAAAAAAAAUGACGCGGGCGACCGUUGAAACUGAUGCUUUAAUAUAGUAGAGAUAGAGAAAGUGUAUGUUUGGUUGAGAAAUGGAGAAGAAUGGAAUGGUUUUAUUCCUAUUUUUUGGAUGUUAAUUUGGUUUCAAAUAAAAGAAGAGCGGUCUUCAUAUGAAAAUUUACCAUAAAUAAUUUAUAAUGCUCCCGCUCUAAAAGAACGACCGGAUGCGAUCGCUCUCCUCACUCUUCUACCAUCUACACUUAUAUGGCUCUACAACGAAAUUUCAACCAAACAAAAAAUGGAGCAGCUCUAUUCUAUUUGCCAAACGCGAAAUAAAACGGUUUUAUUCUAAAAAACCGGAAUGGUGUCACUCCAUUCUAGUUGACUCUCCAACCAGUGUAUUAUUGACUUAUUGUUGACGCUGAAUUUUAUAUUAAAUUACACAGAGGUAAAAUUUGCAACAAUGAUCUAGCUAGGGAUCUAAGAUACGAUGUUAUCAAAGAUGGGUGGUGGGUUUCAGUCUCCAGUGAGGAAGGAUGCGCGCAAAGAGCACUCCAAACCACUCACUAUGGAUAAUAAUAACGGGUAAUCACUGUUUAUUUCUGGAUAAUCUUAGCCUUGCACUGAAGAUGACUAAGCUUAGGACGUGGACAUUUUUUUUACAGCUGGAACAUGCAUGUAUGAUGUAUGGUCUUCUGAUAUCUCCAAAAAAAGAGAAAAGAUGUCGUCGAGCUGAGUCAUCAAUGAAUUUCUACAUCCUAAAGAAAUGGAAAGGGAACGCACUAGUGUUAUGCUAAAGCGAAAAUCUCUAGAAAAGACAAAAGCUUCUAGGCUUUUCUUAGAGAAGCGAAGCUUCUACUUACUUGCGCUCGUCUUCAGCUUGAACGGAUAAUCGACAGAUAUAUGCAGGGGACUGUGGUAGUACAAAUCAUCCAAGUCAUCAUGGUACAAGGAUGACACUAGUAGAAAAGAGCUCUAAGGUGGCGGCACGUAGAAAUUUAUACUGGCGGUUUCAGUUACAACACGCCAGUGAAAAAAACAGGGCCCGCCUUAACGAACCGACAGUGUAAAUAUAUAUACACUGACGGUUCACUUAACAUAACCGUCAGUGUAAAGGAUGCAUUUACACUGGCGGUUAUAUUAAGUAAACCGCCAGUGGAAAUAUCAUAUACACUGGCGGAUGUAUAAAGUGCACCGUCAGUGUAAAGGAUAUAUAUACACUAGCGGCUGUAUAAAGUACGCCGCCAGUGAAAAUAUCAUAUACACAUGCGGCUGUAUAAAGUGCACCGUCAGUGUAAAGGAUGUAUAUAAACUGGCGGCUGUAUAAAGUACGCCGCCAGUGAAAAUAUCAUAUACACCAGCGGCUGAUUAAAGUGCACCGUCAGUGUAAAGGAUGUAUAUACACUGGCGGCUGUAUACAGUACGCCGCCAGUGAAAAUAUCAUAUACACUGGCGGCUGUAUAAAGUACACCGUCAGUGUGAAGGAUGUAUAUACACUGGCAGUCACUUAGGGGGUGUUUGGUUUAAGGAAUCACUACAUCCAAAUUGAGGUGGUGCAUCAUGGGUUCAUUUCUCAAAUUUGGUGGGAUGACCCUAUUCCUCAUAUUAGUACUAAUUCAUAUACACUGGUGUGUUUGGUUUGUGGAGUCACUCUAUGCUUCAUGAGGUGAUGCAUCAUAAAUUCAUUCCAUCAAUUUUGGUGGAAUCAACCCACUCCUCAUGUAUAUACUAAUUUAUUAGCUUAUAUAUGAGGAAUGUGGUGGUGAUGGAUCAACCCAUUCUAUUCCACAAACCAAAUAAAAAAGUGAGGAGUGAGAAUAAGAUGUAUCACUUCAUUCCUCAAACCAAACACACUCUAACUAACUAAUUAUGAGGAAUGAGGUGGUGAUGGAUCAACUCAUUCCAUUCUACAAACCAAACAAAAAUAGUGAGGAGUGAGAAGAUGAUGGAUUAGCUAAUUCCUCAAACCAAACACCCUAUUAUCGAAACCGUCAAUACAUUGCAUGAAUAAUCGGUACUAGAGAGGAUUCCAUACCCCAAUACAUUGCGUGAUUACUCAGUGAUCGGUACCCCCAAUACAUUGCAUCAAUACCAGAGAGGUGAUCAAUACAUCUGAGAUAAACAAUAUAUCACUAACUACUUCAUUACAUCUAACUACUUCAUUACAUACACUACAUCAUUGAUAUUCCAGCAGCGAUCCAAUCUCUCAAAUAUGUCAUUUCUAGACUUGCAUUUACAACGUAAUCAGCUUGGCCAUGCGAACUACUCCCUGAUCCUCCUAUGUGGCCUCGGUCCAACAAAUAGUUAUGCAAAGCAAAACAAGCAAUUAUAAUCUUAACUUGCAUGCUUCUUUCGUAAAAUGGGAGUCCUCGUAGCACAUGCCACCUUGAUUUGAGUAGUCCAAAAGCCCGUUCAACUACAUUACGUAGACUCGAGUGGUGGAAAUUAAACUUUUCCUGCACACUCUCUACUCCUGUUUGAUUAAAAUCUUCUAAGUGAUGUCUCUGAUUCCGAUAUGGUGGCAAGUAACCUUCGCGAAUUGAGUAACCCACAUCCACUAGAUAAUACCUCCCUGUACAAAAAAAUAAACCCAAAAAAAGAUUUACUACAUCGUAAUGCAUGUAUGCAAUGGCGCCAACAAAACAUGCAUGCGACCAUACCUGCUGGUGGGUGUGGAUAGUUCGCUUCUCCCAUACAACUCCUGAGUACUGCCAUGUCAUGGCAAGAACCAGGCAACCCAGCACCUACAAAAGUGAACCGCAUAUCCAUGUCCACUAUAGCUAAUACAUUGUAGCUAGGCCACCCUUUUCUAUUUAUGUGUUCAAGCCUCGACUCAUGACAUACAUGAGCUGGAAUGUGUGUGCCAUCUAAGGCUCCUAUGCACCCAUCAAAGAAAGGGGCAUAAGGUCUAAGCUUGUUAUGCACUUUAGAAAAUGUUGGAUCCUUGGGACAUAUAGUGGUUUGUGCAAAACUAUACAGUGCAUCUGCCACCAUAGCCAUUUUUCUAUGGAUGGUAUCCAAAGACCUUUUAAAUCUGUCUCUAAUUUGUCGUGUUGCUUGUUGUGUCCCACAUGCCCAUAAGAACAUCCCUAAUGCUUCACAUGACUCCACCUCUUGUGUUGACCUUAACCCAUGAUACCUCACUAAAGUAUCAUGCAAUUCUCUAAAAUAAUCUGGAGUCAUACAAAAAUUGUCGUGACACCUCCUAGAGUCCCUCAUAUUAAGUUCCACCCAUUGCCGUCCUGUCACGUGCGGCAAUGGAGUAUGAAGAUUGAUCAUAGGAGCAAGAGUAUACGAACUAGAAGCGAAAGCAGCUAGAACCGCCGCUGCACCAGCUUGUUGGAAUAUGUUGGAGCUAUCAUCACUUGCCGUGUCGCUAUGGCUGGAGUCUUCUGCACUACUCAUCUCGGAGUUGCCUACAUUUAACAGAAAUGCAAUACUCACCAAUUUGAUUAUAGACCAUUCAAAACAGAUCGAAAUACAAUACUUAACAUACAAUGUUAUAAAACUAAAGUGCACAAGCACAUAAAUUAAAUUGAACUACAAUAUGUCCGCAAACAUCAAAUAAUACCAGAGUGAUUACAACACACACAUUCAAAACUAGACGAGAAAACUUAACAGUGUAUCAAAGCAUUAUUACAACACCACACAGACAAGCUACUUGUUAUUAAUAUGAUUCCAUUGGAACCUAAUCCAAUGGAGGCGUCCCUCUUUGCUUGUCAGUUGAAGAAAAAACUUCCUAUUUAUAUCAUUUUUGCAAAGAAUAUUUGCCAUGCAGUACAAAUCAGAGUCUUCUUCAAUUCCAUCUUCCUUUAAAAGUCGCACAACCUUGACAACUUCUUCGUUUCCACGAUUAAGAGUCUUCUUCAAGUCCAGCUGGCUUCUGAUGCUAAUGCAAUCAGAAAUAUUAGCAAUGUGAUCUUCCAAACUCAUCCUUUUUGCCUUAGGGGGCUAUCCACUGUGGCUUCUCUGAUCCUUUUGGACGAGCAACCCACACCGUCAUCAGGAGUACCGCGGCUGCCAUAGCUUCGCAAGGGUUCACGGACACCUCCAGCACUAAUCAAAUUGCCCCUGUCGUGUGUGGUUCAACUAAACAAAGUGUAAAGCUCAUCAAGAAAGGGUGGUGGUUUUCCUCGACUGCCCUGAGGACUAGGAUCCUGCGUUUGAACAUAGUGCAGAUUUAGUAUUGGUCCAUAAAAAAACUUGUAAUCAAUUCAUGAACAAUGUACCCCUUCCUGGGUCCCCAGUACGAAUCAUCUGCUGCUAUAUCACCAGUCCUUGGUUCAAGGCCAAGCCCAAUAUGGUUCUGCAAGUAUUGCCACUGCUGGAAAGACCUUCGGAGCAAGUUCAAUUUGUUUUGCAGUUUUUUGUUGUCAUAAUCAAGACCAGUCUGCUCUCUAAAGCUGCGAUACACUUAUUGCCAUCCAUAUUUAGUUAAGCCCAUGCUAUUGAAGUUAUUAAGGUUCUUCUGAUUGAUGCAUAGGUCAAUGAAUGUUUUAGUUGUCAUCGGAUCCCAACUGGCACGGUCCGACGAACUCAUCUGUGGGCAAGUUGCACAUGCACGUAACUAUUUGGAACAGAGGACAUGUAGUAAAAGAAACAAGAACUUGUCGUGGUUAAAGAAACAAGAUAAGAACUUGCUGUAAGUCAAUGAAUACAAAGACACAUUUAAUAAUUUCUGAAACAGAUGACAUAAGAAACAAGAUAAGUUAUGCACAAAAGAACUUACCAUGGAAGUGGUUUUGGCACGCUUCUUGCGUAGGUUGUACUGAAUAGGUGCAGUUCUCUUGUCACGUGCAGGUUCCGGGGAACAAGAAUCAGUGAAUGAAUGUGCCAGAUUGGGCAAACUUAUGCACGAACUGCGCCGAAAAAGAAGAGUGAUUUAAUACAUUAAAAUGGAGGCACGAGGGCAGAUAGCAACAGACAUUGCGAUCCCAGGACGUAAGUUUCAUGGAAGCGACAUACCGGAUGAUUAUUGCAGGGUAGAAGUGACGAUGGUCAUCCAAGGAUCUGAGAAUGACAUGCUAGACAUCCCUAGGCCCGAAGGAAUCGAGACACUUGGACAAGCCAUCAAAAAUUUCAUCCUUUGGCCUCGAAGGGAUGUCGAAUUGGUUGAUCCACCAACGCCGUCGUCAUCUCAUCCCCAACCAUCUCCGCCUCCUCAAACUUUAGUACCUUUACAUCCAUCAUCACCUCCACAAUCUUCCCAUGCCGCUCCUCAUCCUCUUUCUAAUCCACCGUCUCCACCACAGGCAUCAACAUUUAGGACACCACCACCUUCUCCACAGCCAUCAAGGGAUUCACGACAAUCAAAGAAAUCUAAAUUCCCUCUACCAAAAUUGGUGUCCACAUUCGAGAAAAAGAAGAGUAAAGCUACUACUGCUGGCACAGCUCGAUUUUUGAAAGGGAUUGGACGGGACCUCACGCCACGUACUAUUGAUUUGGCCGAGCACGAGGAGUCUGCAGAAAAGGCUAAGGCAAUGGCAGCAAAGAUAAAGAUCCCAACUAAGGCAGAUUAUAAAAAUGUGCCUAAACAUUAUGUGCUGGCCAGACCUCUACUAACUCUUGAGAAAUUGAGGAAGGUCCCUGCUGGUAUUAAAAGGUUACAUGACUGGUACAUGCGUGCAUCAUCAGUUGGCAUUGACGCCAUUUGCAUAUACCAGACCAUGCUUUUAUUGGUUCGGACCAAAAGACCUUUCUUGCAUUCGAGGAUAUGUGGUUAAUGAUGAACCUUCAGAAACUAGACGUGCAACUUGUGACUCUAUUUGCACUGUAAGUGUCGCUCAUAUUUCCACAUUAUGUGUUAUUAAUUUUCAAUAUCUGACACAUGCACGUGUGACUUGUAGAAUGCAACAUGACCAACAAGAGAUCCUGUACGGUACCAAGCCCGAUGCUAAUGCCGGUAAAAGGAUUGAGUAUCUGAACCCAAUACUGAUAUGUGAGGAAAGCCACACUUUCAGAAUCGGCAAAGACAAUGAAGUGUUAACGGGAAAGACGGACGAAGAAGUUGAGCAUCGCAUAAAUACUAUGAAGAAUGAUUUUGAAGCAAGAUACGCCACCUACAUAGCAAAUGCAGUGCUUAAAUUUCAAGACAGGGAAGCUAUAAUGGCCCCCUACAACUUUAAUUAAGUGUGAUUUUGCAUAAAAAAUAAUAAUUUCAAUACACAUGCAUCACAAAUUAAUUUUAUUCAUACAGGGACCACUGGAUAUGCUUCCUCAUUUAUCCUAAGGUUGGAAAGGUGCUGGUGCUCGACUCCUUGAACUAUGACCCUUCAACCUAUGCAAAAUUCCUUAGUAUCUUAGAGCAGUAAGUCUUUUCUAUGCAUGCAUGCAUACUUAUAUCGUUGAGAAAAUUUUGAAAUAACAUGGAGAUUCUACUUGAGAUCACAGAGCAUUUAGGUUCUAUAAGUUUAAAGGUGGAAAGUACGACAAGACCAAAAAAUGUGUUCCACUAGACAUCCAUCAUCACUGGCCGGUAAGUAUGUGAAUUUAUGAAUACAUAUCAUACACAAUGCUGCAACCAAAUAACCAAUCUCUCCUGUUAUGUAUGUAGUGCCACAAGCAACCACAAGGAUCGGUCCUAUGUGGGUUCUAUGCGUGCGAGUUUAUGAGAAUGAACGGACGAUACAUCACAAACCCUAGCAAGGUAUUAUUAGUAAUAGUCAUGUUUGUAUUUGUAAAUUAACGAUGCAAAUGUGAAUAGAUGAUGUUUAUAAGCUUCCUUUACAGGAAUUUCAAAAAGGAAAUCCGGAGAACUUGACCGAAGCUGCAUUGCAUGGUAUAGUUGAAGACCUAUGCACAUUCAUAUUAAAAGAGGUCAUUCCAGCUGAAGGGAAAUAUCACGACGCUUCCAGUACAUUAGCUAUACCAGAGUUUAGAAUAUUAACAGAAGUUAGUAGACUAUCUCUUAAACGAGAUAGUUACUAGCUAGAGCAUAUGUGAAAACUUAUAUGUUCAGUUUUGAUGUAUAGAAUGUAUCGAAUUUAAUUAAGUUUUGAUUGAUUGAAAAUGUAUAGUUGUAAACAGAAAAAUAUGUGUUGUAAACAAUAUAUUGUAAACAGAUCUGUGUAUAAAAUUCAGUUUUGAUGUAUAAAAUUCAGUUUUGUUUGAAAUGGUAAGCAGACCGCCAGUGCUAAUAUUAUUUCCACUGGCGAGCUGCUAAAGAAAACCGCCAGUGAUAAUAAUGUUUCCACAGGCGUUUUCUUAAGCAGCCCGCCAGUGAAAAUUCAGUUUUGUUUGAAAAAUUGAAAAAGGCAGGAAACUUAUACUGGCGGGAAGCUGAAGAAAACCGCCAGUGAUAAUAAUCUUUCCACUGCCGGUGUCUUAAGCAGCCCGCCUGUGAAAAUGAUGUUUCCACAUACGGUUUCUUAACCAAACCGCCAGUGCUAAAUAUAUUUACACUAGCGGGCUACUUAAGAAAACCGCCAGUGCUAAUAUUAUCAGCACUGUCGGUUUUCUUAAGAAACCGCAUGUGAAGACAACAUUUACACUGGCGGGCUGCUAAAGAAAACCGCUAGUGCUAAUAAUAUUAGCACUGGCGGUUUUCUUAAGAAACCGCAUGUGGAGACAACAUUUUCAUAGGCGGGCUACUUAAGACACCUCCAGUGAUAAUAAUAUUUCCACAUGCGGUUUCUUAAGCAAACCGCCAGUGCUAAUGAUAUUUACACUGGCGGGCUGCUAAAGAAAACCGCCAGUGCUAAUGAUAUUUACAAUGGCGGUUGGCAAACAACCGCCUGUGAAAAAAGACUGAUUUCUAUUGGCCCCUAGCACUGGCGGCACUGAAAAACGCCAGUGCAAAUAGCUCUAGGACCGCCACUAUAGAGCUUCUGUGUACUAGUGUGAGUGGCGAGUCUUAAGGGGGUGUUCUAUGGUCUAAAGUUUACACUACUAGAACAAAGUACUUUGCCACGCAUAACAUUCGGCAAAAGCUUUAUCGAGUGUAGCAUUCGGUAAAAAGGACUCGAUGAACAGUUUAUCGACAACGGUCUAUUUACAGAGUACUUUAUGUCGAGCACUCAGUAAAAAGGACUCGACGAACAGUUUAUUCAAGCGACGGUGACGAAGUCUUUACCAAGUGUCUGCUGACUUGACACUCGACAAAGGGAACUCCAGUGCCCCCCACGCCAGUCUGUGUGCCAAGUGUGCGGUCUGGCACUCGGUAAAGGUAACUUCUUUGCGGAGUGUUAGGACCAUAACAUUUGGCAAAGAAGCUUUACUAAUUCCUAGGUGUGCUUUAUUUGCUGAGUGCUAUGGUCAUUGUACUCGGCAAAGGCACUCUUUGUCGAGUGUGACAUUCAGCAAAGCGACUAGAGUCCCCAUUUUUAUUUGUUUUUAUUAUUCCAUCCAAACAAAUAAAAGAUAUAUCACAUAAUCAUCACAUGUAUAUUGCAGAUAUCACAGAAUCAUCACAUACAUCAUAGACAGUACAUGUCACACCCGGUUUUAGAAGGUAAACCGAAUGCGAACCAUGUACGUGCCAGGAUCAGCAAUUCACGUACACAACAGUUACAUAACAUGGACAUCAUCACACAGUGCUCAAAUAGUAUUAAAAAAGGGAAUAAUAAUCGAUUACAUCAUAUGUCUGAGACAUCCACAUAGUCUUUACAAUAAUCAAAGUGCGAAAACGAAACAUAGAUAAACGCGGCUUUCACAGGCAGCCGACUAGGGGUUGCCGCUAACCCACGCCUAGAACCCGUCGUAAUCUUGGAACUCCUGGUGGUCUCCUUCCACAGCUUCAUCCUCUCCUGAGCAGGGGUUGCAAUGCUGACAACCUGGGGAUGGGGGGGGUUUGGUGUGUAGAGCAAGGGUGAGUACACAUCAACAUACUUAGCAAAUGUCCUGUUUGGCUGAGGUGGACUAGCUUUAUGUGGAGUUAAGUCAAGCUGUUGCUUUUAGUUGGUCAGGUUAUUAUUACUAGUAGAAAGCCAGGUUUUAGAAUUAACCCACGUUAUUAACCCAAAUGUACUCCUUUCCAAACGGAAAGGGUACCACUUACCAUUACCAGAGUCAAUACCAAGAACCAUCAAUCUCAUUGCCACCUGCAAUCCGAACAUCUCUAAUCAAGUACCACUAAUCACUGGAGCUCACUUGGCCGCUCAUAACCGCGAGCACGGCUGAUAUAUCAACUUUCAAACACUCUGCAGAGGUUGUGCACUUUACCCACAAGCCGUGAUUCCCUUUCUGCCCGGAGAUCAUGACUCUCCAUUGAUCACUACCAAGGUGACCCAGCAGGGCCUCACUAUGUAGCCUUUACAAAGAUUUCCCGGGGCUGUAGCCGCCCGUUAGGUUUCCUAAAUGCACCGCACUCCUCCCCAAGGGGCGAACCCAAACUUGGCAGAGCGAGCCGCAUACACCGAGCCCCAUUAACGGCACGACGGCUAAGCGAACUACACCCCAGUUCUUCUAAUUAUUCAGCUAAGGGCAUCCCAUUCCACCCUCAUGGUUGCACUGUUUUCCCGGGCGGUCAUCCAACAAACAGGUCCUUACGGAGAGGCACUCGAGAAACCGCUCGAGCCCCCCUUGAAUACCACAAGUAUAACAUCAUAAUAAAGGAGGAGAAAACAACGUAUCAUUAAUAAUUCUCAUCAUGUUCAUUGAUUAGAGUUGAGCAAUAGCAUAAAGCUAAACAAUAAUAAUCCAACCCACAUGGGUAAACAAGGACAUGGAUAACAAAAGCUAGUCAAUCCUUAGGUAUAAAUGUGAAAUGCGGGAGGUGAAUUAAGAAUGUAUAGGACAAAGAUGGGUUAAGGGACACUUGCCUCCACCAACCAGCUGCUGCUCAGGGGCUUCUCCUUUGGGUUCCUCAGGUUCUUCAACCAGAUCGUUCUCUAUAUGAGCACAAACAUACAUACAUCCACAUAUUUAAUACAAAAGAACAGUACACCAUACAAUAGAAUGCAAUAAAUAAACAGACGUUCCACGCGGGGAUCGCAACUAUGGUUAAGAGAGAGAAAAAGGAAAAGACAGUCGAGAAACGAUCAUGUUACAUAAUUAUAAAUUAAACCACUCGCUUAACAGAAGGGCAUUAAUUUGGACACUACAUUUAGCAUAAAGUAAAGACAUGUUUCAUGUUUUAAUCAUUAUAGAUAGAUAAAGAUGAAUGAAAGGGAGUGGUCGCACGGCGAGACGUACGACACAACAUUUAGAUUGAAUUAAGAAGUAAACGACUCGCCGCGCGAUAGAGCGUGCAACGAGAUUCUUGCAUUAAUUAAAAGUAAUACGUUAAGUGUUGCGCGACGAAAUGCACGACGGCUUACGUCAACUGAACUACAUUUAAACGAAUCAUCGCGCGACGAAGCGCGCAACGCAGCACUUCAAUAAAUAUAAAUUAAAAGAAUCAUCGCGCGACGAAGCGCGCGACGCAGCACGUCGACUAAACAAAUUAAAAUAGAUUAAAACGGGGUUAAGCGCAGUGCGACUACGAUCGCACGCGCGAGAGCGCGCUGCGCGUGCCGAGGGCACGCGAGCCGUGUAGACGCGCGGGACGCGAGUCGCCGGGGCAUGGGCGCGGGCAGGGGGCACGGCCGAGGGGGCGCACGGCCGAGGGCGCGUGGCCGAGGCACGGCGGGGCGCGGCCAGGGCACGGUCGAGGGAGCGGCGUGGGGGCGGGGCUCGCCGAGGAGCAGGGGAGGGCGCGCGGGGAGGCCGUUAGAGGGGGGCCGCGACGGGGGCGGGGGCUCGUCGAGGUGAGGAGGGCGCGGGUAGGGGAGGGGCGCGUGGCAGGGGAAGGGCGCGCGUGGGGGCAGUUUGGCGGGGGUUGCCGCGGCGAGGGCGGGGCUCGCCGGGGAAGGAGGCUCACCGGGCGCAGGGAGGGGCGCUCGGCGGGGAAGGGGCGCGUGACGCCAGGGCGGCGCGGGCGCGAUCGAGGGGGCUCACCGGGGCGCGGGGCACGGGGCGCGCGAGCCGAGGGCGGCGCGGGCGAGGCCGCGGGAGGGCGCCGGGGCGCAGGGCGUGUGAGCCGAGGGCGGCACGGCCGCGGGAGGGCACGCGGGCGCGGCCGAGGGGGCUCGCCGGGGCGCGGAGCGCGCGCGAGCAGGGCGCGGGACGCGCGCGGCUACGGGAAGAAGAAAGGGAGGGGGAGGGAGACAGAGAGAAGGGAAGGGGAGGGGAAAAACUCACCUCCGGGGAUCCAAACUCCAGCGAUCUCGACUCCAAACCUUAGGGCAGCACGGGGAGAGAGAGAGAGGUGGAAGAGGGAGAAGGAGGUUACUGCGCGGGAGAAAUCAAAUGAGCCAAACGGAUCUGGGGGAGGGGGCGCGCAUGGGGAGGGCAGGGGGCGCCAGGGGCGCGCGGGCCGGACUAGGCCACACCACGGAUCAAAACCCAUGACACGCACGACCAUUAAAUGGAAUCCAAUCGCGAACCGAAAUCCGAAACGGAACGAGACGAACACGCGACAUCAGACAAAGAAAUGUGCUUCGACAUGAUGCAACACCCAUGACACUUAGGUUUUGUUUAUACAUGACACGGACACCUGUCACUAUACUGGUUUGAAAUUAGGAAGGAGUGAAACGGGAAGAGAAAAGAGAGUAACGCCCGAAUUUGGUGAGUGAAAAGAAGAAAAAAUUCUACCCCCAAAUUCAGGGCGUUACAGUACAUAUCUCACAAAGACCACAAAUCUCACAAGUUUCUUCACAAAGAUAACAAAAAGGUUGAUGUCACAUGUAUCACAAAAUAGUUCACAAAACUCACAAGUACUCAUAGAAAUUAGUCCACAACAUCCAAUCUAUGCCAUAAACAUGUCCCACAACUAAGUUCAGAAGAACAUCAGCGAGGUGGCCAGCUGAACUGAUUCGGCGAAGGGUUGGGCGAACCAUGAAGGUUGUUUGACACUGCCGAUUGAUUCUGCAUAGAGUAGAGAUUUUAUGUGUGAGACCAAAUGAAAUAUAUAUCAUACAUGACUAAAAUUUUCAUACUUAUAAGAGUAGAAAACUGAGUAGGUUCACCUGCAGGGAAUAAUGGAGGUGGUGGAGCAAAACCUGAUGUGGUACCAAGGUCUGCAUGUACUGAAACAUCUCUGCCAUCCUCUACUGAUCAACCAAGCCAGUCACCCGCUCCACCUCCCGCCCCUCAUCCUCGCCUCCAUCUCCAUACAUUCCCUCCUCUCUUCUUCUAGCUGAGCCUGCAAUAUUUCACCCCAAUGUUACGAUAAUGUAAAGAGAAGGCAUAUAACUCAGUGAAUUGACGAGGCAUAGAAGCACUAACAUGGAGUUCUUGUAUGCGAUGAUGUGAGCUGUCUUGCCGAGAUCGUAUGGCUGGGCUUGCGCUCGUGCUCCUUGCUCGCACCUGAGAUAGAGUGGGAAUAGAGAAUGAGUCAAUUGCCUCGUCGGCAAUCCAGUACUGUCCGUGCCUCCUAUCUCCUCCAACCCUCAUGAGGGCAUCUCCGUCUAUGUCCUCGGACCUCAGAUCGUAUUCUGGCCCAUGGACCUCCUACUCUUUUGCCAUGGCAGUGUACUCACUAAGGCGUCUUUGCACGUUGAGGUUGUUGUACGCCUCGGACCCAUCCUCUGGGUUGUAGGUGAUGUCGGACGUCGCCUUUCCCUUGUGGGCCAUAGCAUACAACGAGAAAAUGAAACAAGGUUGACUACCAUGUGAUGCCGACAGCGAGAAAACCAACGAUAUAGUUAGAAAUCAUGCAUAAUCGAAAGCUAGACUAAAUAAAAUAAAUCGUGUAACCAUGUUUCUGCGUAUUUGGUGACGCCGCCACUGCCUUGGUGGUGGGAGGCACCUUGCAUCAUCAAACGCUGGUCCCGACAAGCGUUGUGUGUCUCAUCUCACUCGUUGGAGCACCUCCUUUGCACCAUCCGAUCCCAGCACUCAUGGAUGCACUGUGCACAAAUAAGGAAUCGUCUAUAGGAAAUAAAAUAUAUGACAUAUUAGAAGAUAAAAUUAAGCAUAUUUAAUGUCAAUAUUAGUGCGUGACGACCAUGGCUCCCUAAUCCAGCGGCACUACGGCGGUAGCUCCCCGGUGGCACGGCGGCGGCAACAGUUCCUCGAUCUAGAGGCACGGCGACAGCGGCUCCCCGAUCUGGAGGCACGACAUCGAUAGCUUCCUAGAUGCCUGGCGGUGGCGGCUCCCUAGAGGCGCGUGCGGGGUUUGCCAUCCGCACCGUGGGCCCCAUGACAUUCUUUGAUCCGGCGCACUUCGAGCACCCCCGGCGAGCGGUGGCGAACCCAGAGGCGAGGUGGCGAUUCCGCGAGUGGCGGCCCUAUUUUUAUGCUACUUUGUAUACAUAUUUUAUACCAAUGUCAAUAGGUGUUUACGACAUAUAUUUCAGUUCAUGGCUCCCCUUCCAUAUAUUGUUUGUCUAUAAUAUUUCUAUUCACAUUUUAAGCAAACAUUUAUUGAUUUUAUGUAUUAUCUCAUUACCUAACCUAGUGUGUAUAUUGGGUUCCUACCAUUUACGCCAUAUGUAUAAGAUAUUUACGACACACUCGUUUACACAACGAAACAAAAAUUCACAAAAAAGGUAACCGCUCCCGGAAAUAAGGCCAUUUGCCAUGAUUUCAUAAAAUCUCACACAUGCAAUCCCUUGAUUAAUGGUGUCCACUACUACCAUAAAAAAAUUAUAUUCCUUAAUCAAUACACCUCAUUAAAUUUCCUAAUAAACUCAUCUAAUCGAAUUCCUUGAUUUAUGGUGGACGCAUGGACGUGGGGCUAUUGAUUCGAACCACAUGGCAGAUUUUUACGCACUGUACCGUAGUGCAUAAAUACCUUCACCAUGUAGCAUAAUUAGUAUCAAUAUAUAUCAUAAACGUUUUUAACGAGUCUAGCUGCUUGCCUGUUAGAGAGAUACUAUAUUUAUGAGGAAAUGAAGCAUUAAAUCAGUUUUUUUGUUUGCAUACAUGUCAAUCCAUUUACUUUCAACACACAUUAUUGUCAUCCUAAAUUUGUGAAAGGGAAAUAGGCUCACACAUUUUAAAAUAUACUCCAAAAGUGUCCUAUUUUUUUAAAAAUGUCAUAAAAUAUAGGUCACUUGUUAAAGUGUAACAAAUAUCUUGCACCGUUUUGGGCUGCCUUAUCUCUAACUGUAACUGAAAGGGAAAUAAGCUCACACCUUUUCCUAAAUGAUUUUGGUGGUUGAAUUGCCCAACACAAAUAAUUGGACUAACUAGUUUGCUCUAGAUCAUAAGUUCUAUAGGUGCCAAAGGUUCACAAUAAACCAAUACAAAGUUCAAAGAAAUGGUUCAAAAAAAGAAAGGAGCAAAGCAACCGAAGGCUGCCCUGGUCUGGCGCACCAGAGUGUCCAGUACACCAGGGUGGAUUCCCUCCAACUCGCUAGCUUCGGGAAUUUGGGGAGCCACUCCGCUAUAAUUCACUGGACUGUCUGGUGUAGCACCGGACUGUCCGGUGUGCCAAGCGGAGUAACGGCUAACAGCGCCAACGGUCGUCUGCAAAAGGUGAACAGUGAUCAACAGUGCGCGACUGCGCGUGCAGAGUCAGAGCAGGUGCCAGAAGGCGCACCGGACUGUCCGGUGGCCCCACAUGUCAGAGCUCCAACGGUCGGAACCCAACGGCUUGGUGACGUGGCUGGCGCACCGGACUGUCCGGUGCGCCAUACGACAGAAGCCCUCACCAACGGCCAUUUUGGUGGUUGGGGCUAUAAAUACCCCCAACCACCACACUUCAAUGCAUCCAAGUUUUCAGCCAUCAAACCUCAUACAAGAGCCCUAGACUUCAUUCCAAGACACAAACAAAGAGAUCAAAUCCUCUCCCAAAUCCGGAAUCACUCCAAACAAAUUAGUGACUAGAGAGAGAGAGACUUUUGUGUUCUUUUGAGCUCUUGCGCUUGGAUUGCUUUUAUUCUUCCUCUAUUCUUGUUUCCAACUCACUUGUAAUCAAAGCAAGAGACACCAAGUUGUGGUGGUCCUUGUAGUGGACUAAGUGUCCCAUUUGAUUGAAGAGAAAGGCUCACUCGGUCUAAGUGACCGUUUGAGAGAGGGAAAGGGUUGAAAGAGACCCGGUCUUUGUGAUCACCUCAACGGGGAGUAGGUUUGCAAGAACCGAACCUCGGUAAAACAAAUCACCGUGUCAUCCGCUCUUAUUUGCUUGUGAUUUGUUUUCGCUCUCUCUUUCGGACUCGAUUAUAUUUCUAACGCUAACCCCAGCUUGUAGUUGUGCUUAAACUUUAUAAAUUUCAGAUUUGCCUAUUCACCCCCCCUCUAGGCGACUUUCAAUUUGUGCGCAUGCAACAGAAAACAAUUUUUUACGCAAUGUACCACAUUGCAUAAAUAACUACAUCAUGUAGCAUAAUUGAUAUCAGUAUAUAUCAUAAACUUGUUCUAAUGAGGCUAACUACAUGGUUGUUGGAGAGAUCCUAUAUUUAUGGAGGAAAUGAAGCAUUCAAAUCAAACCGGCCUCAUGAAGUGGAAACAAAAAUGCCACCCAAAAUUAUCCCACAUGCGAUGAAAACUCACACGAUCUUCCAUAAUUAUCGGAACUACCAUAAAAAAUAGGAUAUGUAUGCAUGCGCCUGCGGCGUUGGAAGUGGUCCACUGGCUAGUCGCGGUUUUAUGUUAUCUCUAUGAACCAUUUAUGAUAUUUCUAUGAACUAUUUAUGUUAUUUACAAAAAAAUAGAACAACAAAUUAUAGCGUGUGUCCCAUGUGGAGGAUUGAGUGUUGGACCAGGGGUUUGACUGGUGCCCGUGGGAAGGUUUGACAUGGUGCACUGACCGACCAGGGGGUGGCUGGGGCUUCCCAUCAACAUUAGAAGCCUAGGGCUUCCAAUAUCCCUUUCAUAUAUAUAUAUAUAUAAAGAGCCCUGGGCUUCCAAUAACUAGAGGAAGCCUAGGUCCGGACGUCUAUAAAACAAGAUUUGGAGUGCUAGGGUUCGGUUUUUUACGCUCCACACUGAUUCAUUAGCGACGGCGUGUGCGACGACGACGCUUGCCCGAGAGCGUGCGCGGCGAUGGACCCCCAGUCGGUGGCCGCGGCUCCCUGACCUCGAUGUGCAGUGGCGGCGGUUCCUCAAUCCGGAGUAGUGGCGGCGGUUCCCAGGUCGGUGGCGGCGGCUCCCCGAUCCAGAUGGCGAGCGACAGCGGGGCCCUUGUGCGGGCAAGUAGCGGCGUCUCCGGGAUCCCGAGGCGGCGGCACUUCCAGGGCCGGCGAGCAAGCGGUGCCCCUCGACGUGCGAGUAGUGACGGCGACGCAUGAAGCGCAAGGUUCGAGCGAGCGGCGUCACAGGAGGCGCGAUGUGCGCGCAGCGAUGAUCGCGCGUGACAUCCUCCGAUCUAGCGCAGUUUGGGUGACCCGAGUGAUGACCUACAUUUGUGCUUGUGUCAUCGACGACGUCCUCCGGCCACUACCUCCUCCGAUUCAUGUUUUCUUUUCGAUUAUUGUGUUUUAUGACUACCACAUGUAUUAUUUACGCUAAAAAUUGUACGAUUUUAUGCUUGAACAUGGAGUUCGUAUAUCAGUUUACUGCAUGCAUAUUUUUUGCAUGCACAUUGGAAAAGCAAUUCCUUAAUUCAUGUUGUUCGUAAUUAUCAUAAGAAAUCAAAUCAUUUAUUUUCGUAAAUAUCAGAUUUGUACGUCUGUCAUAAAAUUAUCCCUAAUUCCCGCAUGUUGGUAAUUAUCAUAAAAAAUCAAAUCAAAUCACUUAUGUUCGUAAAUGCCAGAUUUUUACGUCUACCAUAAAACCGUCCCUAAUUUCCAUUGGCGUUCUUAGUUGAACCGAUAUAUUAUGCUACACGGUGUAAGUAUUUAUGCGAUGUUGUAUAAGAAUUUAUGCUCUAUUUGACUCAUGUCAUCUAAUUUUUUGCGCGCAUGCACUGGAAAGAAAAAUAUAAUCCAAAAUUUACACACAUGCAAUGGAAACUCCCACGAUUUGUCAUAAUUUUUGGAUCUGUAUAAAAACAGAAACUUCAUGCAUGCGGCGCCAUGUUUUUCAGAUCUACCAUAAACAUAGAAUCGUAAUAACAACCUACUAGAGCUAUCAACCUCUCACAUUGGCUCGAUAUUUACGCUUAUAAUUGAGGGGUUUUAUGCUCAAAACUUAAGGUUUUUACGCUUCAACCCGGAGAUGCGUCCACCAGUGAACAACAUGCCAGAUUUUUUAUGCAGUGUACCGCGUUGUAUAGAUACUUACAUCGUGUAGCAUAAUUUGUAUAAGUAUAUAUCAUAAACUGGUCUAACGAGCCUAGUUGCAUGGUUGUUGGAGGAAAUAAAACAUUUAAAUAAGUUUUUUGUUUCCAUGCAUACCAAUCGAUUUCCUUUCAUCGCAAAUCUUGUCAUCCUAAAUUUGUGCGCAUGCAGAAGGAAACAAACCUACACUGUGUAGUAUAAUUAGUAUCAAUAUAUAUCAUAAACUAGUUCUAACGUGUUUAGUUGCAUGGUUGUUGAAGGGAUCCUAUAUUUAUGAAGGAAAUAAAAUAUUAAAUAUGAUUUUUUGUUUCUAUGCAUGCCAAUUCAUUUUCUUUCAUUUCACAUUCUUUCCAUCAUAAAUUCGUGUGCAUGCAGCUGGUAACAGAUUUUUACGCAGUAUACCGAAUUGCAUAAUUAUCUACACAUUGUAGCAUAUUUAGUAUCAGUAUAUAUCAUAAAAUGGUUCUUACGAGUCUAGCUGCUUGACUGUUGCAGCGAUACUAAAUUUAUGGAGGAAAUAAAACAUUUUAAAAUAGAAACCGCCACACAUAUCUUUCUUAAAUUUACGCGCAUGCAAGAGAACAUAUUUGACUCAUGCAUGCAUUACUUUUUUGCGCACAUAGACGUGGCGCGGGUGGCGCACCCGACAGCCUGCUUGAGUUGUCGCGCUAGGUUGAACCAAGUUACAGGGGUAGUCGGCCUGGGCUUCCUUUAACUAUUGGAAGCCCAUAUAUAUAUAUAUAUAUAUAUAUAUAUAUAUAUAUAUAUAUAUAAAAUUGGGUUUGGUGGGAAAUCUGUAAAAAACAGAAAAAUAACCACUAGCGGCUAAGUUUAAAAAGAGUUGAAAAUAUUUUCACUAGCGGUUGUUAUAAGAGAACGUUAGUGGAAAUUUAUUUCCACAUUCAGUUGAGUAAAGAGAAUCGCUCACUUUCUACUGAUCCCUAGCACAAGUGGUGAAAAAAGUCAAUGAAAAUGAGUUAUGAACUGUCUCUAUAGAGCUUUUUUGUACUAGUAUCUUAUUUGCUCUCUUAUUUCAAACAACACUGUUUACAUAUAACUAGUGUUGUUUAUAGAGCAAUGCACGAUUUGUUGGCAACGACAUUAGGCUAUCUUUAACAGUCUUACUGUCUCACUCCUCAUUUAAAACUAAAUUUAUAAAUAGUGCAUCUACACACAUCCGUUGCGCGUAUUGCUGUAGAUGGCUUUAGGGUGCGUUUGGUUGGAGAGUCAAAUAGAUUGGAGUGGUUAAAUUCAAGAAUUUAAGAAUGGAGUCGUUCUAUUCUGUAUUUAAAAAAAUAGAGCCGCUCUAUUUUUUGUUUGAUUGGAGAGCUAUAUGAGUGAAAAAAAACAGAGCCUCUUCAUUUUUUUUGUUUGAUUGGAGAGCCGUAUGAGUGUAGAGGGGACGAGGGGCAGAGACUAAACACAGGACGAAAGCCCUCGGAAUCAGUUUAUAAUAAUAAUAUACAGAAACACAUUUCUAUUCCAAGCUUCAAAUAUAUAGCUCCACAAUAAAGCAUCAUCCUGUACAGUGAGUGAGUCUAUGGCUGCAACAGCUAGAGCUAGUAAUAGUCACCGGCAAUUAGUAUUGUAGCAAACAUAAGCACUGCUGCACGAGCUACAGCUACAAGCGGUGGUGGGCGCAGGAGGCAGUGCCGUCGUCGAAGUUCUGGUAGUAGCUAUGCAGGUCAUACCCAAACCUCACCGCGGUUCGCCUCGGCCGCGCCGCGCGUCUUCUCCAAGAGCGCCUCAACCUCGACAGCACAGCCGCUUCACCGCAGCAGCUGGCCGGCGGCCGCCGCUCCUGGCGUGGACGAGCCUCCCGCCCAAGCCGCUGCCCCCGGUGUACGGGCCUAGCAGAGACGCCGCCGCCAUGAUCGUUCACUCGGUCGGUUCACAGUUCUCACAGGUCACAGGUCACGGACGCUCUUGCCACUAACUAACUAGCUAGCUAGGCGCUCUGUCUGCUUCGAGCUGGAGUACGUACACUACAGUAAAAGAGGAAACGUU